UCCUCGUGUCUCUCAUGUUCCUCACUUUGAGGAUCUGGUAGGUGUAGGUUUGAAUUGAGCAUCAUGAGGAAAUUCUUUCCUUAGUUUUACCUCGACCCCUUUAACUAUACGGUGUUCCUAUUAUUCAAGAAUGAAGAAGAUGAAAUAGAAAGAGUAAAUCUUUAAGCUUCAAAGUCUUCAGACUAUUUUCUUUGGGACACACCGAAUUCCUCAUCUUCAAUGUCUUCAUGAGGAAUAUCAAUUUCUUCACAAUUUCUUCGUGAUCAAAGUCUUCAAGGAAUGACCAAAGUCUUCACCCAAAGACAUACAUUUUUAGGGUCGAUAUUCAUCGAAUAACUCAAAAUCCUCAACGACUUAUAGAGCAUGUGUACACUCAGAAACAUGCCAGUCUCUUAACCUAUAAGUCUUCAAUCCACCAAAAUCAUUAAGUGGCACUUGAUGCACUUACAAUCUCCCCCUUUUUGGUGGUUGAUGACAAACAGGUUAAGUUUUCAACGGGGAUUAAAAUACAAGGUGAAAUAGAGAGUUUGAGGAAUUUGAUUGCAAGAUAUAGAGAAACUCCCCCUGAAGACAUGCAUAUUUGAGGAAUUUGCUUUGGACUGCAAAUGCACAUUGAUGAUUUAUAUCAUGGAGAUCUCCCCCUAUAUCUUGUAACCCAUGCAUGCAUUUAACAUAUAGUAUGAGGAAUUCGAUAUGCUUUAUGAAAAAUGGUGUCUGACGAAUUCAACAAGCAUGCAAUUUAAACAACUUGAGGAAUAAACAUGCGAGGAAGAACGGUUAAAAGCGUCACACCACCACCGAGCUUAAGUUACAAGUCAUUAUAGCAAAAACUUCACAAGAACGAGAGUUUGUAACUUAAUAAAGUUUAUAAUAGCCCAUAAGUAUACCCGCUUGAAGACUAACUCAGAUUUCUCCCCCUUUGUCAUCAAGUGACGAAAGGUAUAAAAACUGAGGACUAACGUCCUUGAAGAAUUUCACUUCCGAGUCGGAGGAGAUGCGUUAAGGUCAGCCAUUGUAGCAGUGUCAUCAACGUAUUCAUCUUCAUUGGUUGUGCGGGUUGAAGUAAAUGAGCUGGCCACUAGUUGAGGAACAGGGAUCUUCUUGAACUUCUUCUUCAGAGGCCAGGACUAGUCAAAGCCUUGCUGGAACUCCAACUAUGCAAGUUCCUCAGGAGUAUUGUGGUGAGACGGAAUAGCCCAUGUGCGAUCAAAAAUCUCAUGCAGGUAGUGGUGAUUUGUCUUCACUGCAUUCCUCGUUGCAUUGAGGUCUUUCACAAUUUCUCCAUCAUGGCGCUUGACCCAUUUUUGGUUGCGAUCAAACUUCUUAUGAAUACUUAGCAGUAGCUCACGGUCAAUCAUUACGCGCGGUGCAGUUUGGGCUUGGUGGUUCUUGAGAUACACUGCCAUCAUUGGUACAAUAUGACACUAGUUUGCGAAACUGACCAUCAAGGGGCCUCAUGCCUUCAUCAAUCACUGAUUUGCCUUUGCCUUCAAUUUCAUCAAAGGAGCUCUUGACAACUUCAAUUGGAGCCAGAUAAGUUUGAUGAUUCAGAAUGUCAGCUUUGUAUGGAAUACCUGACCUCUUUCUGAUGAAUUUCAUGAUCCAUGGAGCGUAAGGCUUCAAAUCUAGUGGUGAGAGUGGGACAAUGUCCUCAGGAAUAAGUCAUGAAGAUUUAUGGGGAUUCCAUGUUUUACGUUAAAGAGCAAAUUCUUCAUGAUACCCACUAUUUCUUCAUCAUUUGAAUCACGACCCUUGAUUGGACAGGAAGUCUUGGCCAGAAUGUGAUAGACUAUCCUUGGCACAUAGAUUAAUUCCUUAGCGAGGAAUUUGGUUAUUGGUGGCUGACCAGAUGCCAGUGGCUUCAUGAGGACUUGCAUAUAGUUAGCUCCUAGUUCAGGUUCAUCAUAUACGCAUCUGGCACUAUCUGAGAGUAUUGGCACGGGAAGAGCCUGAAGCAAUUCAGUUGCUCGGGCUUUGAAGUGUGUGUCCUGUGUCAUCCAGUCCAUAACCCAGGCAUUGACAUCUUGAGGAUCUCCUAACACGUGCAGUGUAGCAUAGAACUGAAGAAUUAUUUCUUUAUUCCAGUCACAGAUUUCAGUGCAAAAUUGCAUUAGGCCAGAAUCAUGACGAACUCUUAAGACUGGUUCAUAUGAGGGAAUUUCCUCCAUAUCAAGAUGAGGAAUAUGCAUGUGAGGAAAGACCCUUUCUCUGUCAAAGAGCACAACACUGUAGUAGUUCAUCUGACUUUGAGUCCAAAAUUUGUUGCGUUUGUACUCAGGAGAUUCAUAUGAACUGGGUCCAUGAAGUAAUGAUGUCCAUCAAAGAAUUGAAGCCGGUCAAACUUUGGCCUUUUUACUUUGUAGGGCUUGAUUCGCUUCGGCUGAAGAUUUGGCUUGAAGCGGCUUCCAAGUCUUCGUGGAUUGCCUACUUGAGGAAUUUGAGCCACCACAACUGUUGUCUUAGGUUUUUUAAUGUGUGGUUCAUCAAGAAAUUCUUCAUUUUGUGCCAGAGAAGAAUCUUCACGCACGUGUUCUUCAGUCUAAGGAAUGUGCUGGGUGAGUGUAUCAGUUGCACGCAUAACAGUUCCUUCAACUUUGUCAUUGUCAUCGGCUCAUGCAGCUAAUUCCAUAGAAGGUGCAGACUUGGCUGGAGUGCUCUUUUCUUUAGAGCCAGUCAAAACUUCAGUGGCAACAGGGGAUUCAGGGAUUUGAGAAAUUGGGGUGACCAAUGGUGAAUUUGGAUGAGUGUGUUCCCAAAAUUCAUCAUGGACCAUUGGUUUGUUGCAGCCAAUGUCCACAUCGUCCUCCUUUUCUUUAGCAGUCAUCUCAGGGUUCUGAAGAGGAGGAGUUGAGGCUUGAGAAAUGUCAUCCGCUUGAAUUUCCUCAUCUAUGGGUGUGGAUGCAGCAGACCAAUUUUCAUCCUUUCCUCAUCCCUUUCUUGAAUGACUUGUUCUUCACAAAAUGGUACAAUCAUGUAUGACGGUGCAACACUGAGAGGAGUUGCAUCAAUUGGAGCAGAUGAAUAAGCAGGCAGGGUCUUCACACAUUUUGCCUCUGAAGACUUUGAAGGUGUUGACGCCUUUCUCUGCUUAGCUUCUUUCUCACCUGCUUUGGUUUUCUUCACUUCUGAUGCAGAAGGAAGUGGGACUUUCUUCACCUUUGAAGACUUUGGUGAAGGUGCAUUUUCUUCAGGCAUUGCAUAGGCAGCUGCAUACCUCGCAGAUUCUUCAGUAGUUUCAUCAGCUGUAGUUUCAUCAGCAACGGUUGCAUCAACAACGGAUAUAUCAGCAGCAGGUUGAUUAGCUGCAGGUUCUUCAUCUUCAUCAGCCAAGUCUACAAUGUAUGUGGCCUAAGGAAUUGAUGGUUGCGCUGGGACUGCAACCCCGUUGUUGUACUCAUCAAUGGCUUUAAUACCAGCCUUGACAAACCUCGCUUUGACACCUUUACUUUCUGCAUGAAGGCUUGAGUAUUUGUCAGUGAGGGUUUUCAGCUCAGCUUGAUUGGACACAAGUUGCUCAGGCAUCAAGGUUAGAAGAUUUUGUUGCAAAAACUUCUCCUUUUGAGCCUUUUCUCUCUGAGCUUGUUUGGCUUGCUGAGCCUUCCACUUUUCUUUUUUAAUGAAUGAAGUCACCAUGUGACUAGGUCCAGGUGGAAGAUGUAAGUAAUCAAUGGGUGUGUUGGAAUCUUUGUACCACAGAGCGAUGAAGUCUAGUAUCACCUUUGGAUCCAGUGUAAGAGGAAUGGUGGAACCUUUAGCUUGUGCAACCCUUUCUUGCUUGUUUCCGAUGAUGCUUGAAGGGUUUCCUCAUCAUAUUCAUCACUUCCCUCUGAUGCAGAGGGAACCUUGAGGACAACUCUGUUAGGACUAGGCCUAAUUCUUUGCCCAGCAGUCGUCUUUGUCUUCAGAAUGCCACCUGAGGAUUUAGGGGCAGUACUUGAGGUUGAUGGUUUUGAGGGAAUUAAGGUCCCUGUUGGUUGCUGGCUGGACUGGGGCUACACAGAAGGUGACGACUUUGCUGCAGUUGAGGACUUUGCAGUCGUUGAGGACUUUGCAGCCAUAGUUUAUUCUGCCUAAGGAAUUUCCUGAUUGGACAUUGUUGUUGAGGACUUUGGUUUGACACCAGAUUUCUUCACCAGUGCUUCCUUGGGAGGUUGUUCUAUGGCACAAGCCUCAACAAUAGAGGAGGAGGCAACAACAGCUACAACAACACAAUCCUCACUGAGUUUGUUUGCUGCUUCAUUGUCGAUUUUCCUCAGUUUUGCCAAAUACUUGGCCUUCUCAUCAAGAUAGUCUUCAAUUGUGAUCAUGCUUGAGGGAUGGGUAGUUUGUUGCUGUUUCACACGGGGUCUGAAGCAGGAAGGCUUGAUGGCAAACUUUCGGGCAUACUUAGGGGUGACAUACAUGUAUCUUUUCCACUCCUGAGCCCAUCUCCUUUCAAUCUUUUGAAGCCUGAUCUUGCGCUUCGCAGAUGUUUCUUUCUCAUAGAUGUUUUCAUCACGUGUGCAAUAGUGAGCAUAGAUGUCCUCGGGAAUCUCAAAGGCAGUAUUAUUUUCUGGCUUCUUGCCACCCUUCUGUUGCUUGUCAUCCUCCAAUUUCUUCAGUUGAGGACUUUGCUGAGGAAUUUGAACUCUGGAGGAAUCUGAUGACAUAGGUAUAUGAUCUUCAAGGAACGCUGCAAAUGAGUUAAGUUCAUGAGAACCUGGUGAUUCAUCAGCUGACAUUUUGUACCUAUCAACAGAGUAUAGGUGCGAAGAAUUUGGAGAGGUCAUAUGCGUUCUCAUAUUUGAGGAAUUUGAAAAAUGACUCAUGGUGAGGAAUUUGAGCAAUUAAGUGUUGAAGAAUUCCGCUAAGCAUUGUGAUCUUGGAUUCCAGAGUUGUGUAGAUUCGUAACUUUACACAAUUGAGGAAUCUCGUGAAGAAUUUAGUAACUUAGGGAAAUUCAUCAGGUGUUCUAGACAUGGAUUGUGAUCAUCUGAAGGAUUUUCUAAGGAAUAACAUAUUUCACAAAUCUAAGGAAAAUAAAUGGAUCAACAGUGGCAGUAAAAUUAUAUUUUAAUUAGCUUGUAUGAAGAACACGACGAACUAAGGAAGUGAAAACUGAAGCUUGCCAGUUCAGAUCUCCAGUGCCCUAACUCGGCGACUGAAGACAGCUACGGCCACAGCGGAGGGAGAUGAACCACAGUCGGCGUGUGUCCGGCGAUAGCGAAGUCGAGGCAUCGAAUAUCUUCCUCAUCGGCGAACAAGAUUUCCAGUGGCAGCACUAGGGUAGAGCUCGAGUUGGGGAAGAUGAAAGUAAGAGGAAGAGAUUUCACUAGAGGGGGUAAGGGGCUAUUUAUAGCUCAGGUGAAAACGGUCUGAAGCGAAACUUUCGGGCCAAACUGCCCCUGCACUUUCCUCUCUGCAUUGCACGUGUUAUCCACGUACGAAGCGGUGGAGAUAGUGGAGAUCGUGGUUAUCCUAUCGUGAGUAGUGGGUGCAGUUAGAGCAGUAACGCCAACAAAAUUUAAGUUUGAUAUUUUUGAGGAUUUUGUAGCAAAGUCUUCAGCUAACAAGGACUCAGUGAGGACUUUGAACAGGUGUCAAUUAGAACGCAUAUGAAGAAUUGAGAAUGGUUUGUGUUGAGCUUAGCAUAGAGGGAAGUCGGAUCCGAUCACAUUCACUUAGAUGAAAUCCAACUUGAAAACUGAGCAAUAAGUGAAUGUUGUUGAGGAGAAUGAAAGCUCGUAUAUAGUCAAUGAAGACAAUGAGAAAAUUUGGAAGACAUAAAUUUUUUGAAGACUUUGAAAAUUUUGAAGACUUUGAAUAUUUUAAAGAAAUUGAAAAUUUUGAAGAAAUUCAAUCUUUGAAGAAUUUCGAAUUUUGUUGGUGGCGUGACCCACCGUAUAAGAAUGAUGAUUUCAGGUGCCGCGUACAAUUGUCGUAGGGCCCCGAGAAUCAAAUUGUUCAUUAAUUUUUGCACACUUAGAGUGUCAUUCUUCAUUGAUUGAAGAAAAACAUUACUUCGUGUGUUGCGCAUCCAAGUCAUCAAUUUUGCAUUAGUAUUAGGAUGUGUGCAUUUCUACACAACAUUCGAAGAUUCUAGGAUAUUUAGCUCACACUGCAACUUGCGAAAUCUUUUCUCAUCCAAGGGCUUAGUGAAGAUGUGUGCUAGCUGGCCAUCAGUCUUCACAUGGUCGAUGAUGAUGUUACCCUUGAGUACAUGAUCACGAAGAAAAUGAUGACGAACCUGGAUGUGCUUGGUCUUCGAGUGUUGUACUGGGUUGUAGGUGAUCUUGAUUGCACUCUCAUUGUCGCAGUAGAGGGGCACAUUCUUCAUGUUGAUGCCGUAGUCCUUGAGGGUUUUCUUCAUCCACAAUAGUUGAGAACAGCAAGAUCCAGUGGCAAUGUAUUCAGCUUCAGUAGUGGAGAGUGAUACGCAAUUCUGUUUCUUUGAGGACCAACAGACUAAGGAUUGUUCGAGAAAAUGACAUGUGCGUGACGUUGACUUGUGAUCCACAUGUUCACCAACAUUGAAAGAAUCGAUAUGGUUGACUAGAGGGGGGGUGAAUAGGCAACGACCACUUUUUAAUUUAUCUUAGCAAGUUAGGGUUAGCAACAUAAAGGUUCUCUAAAAUGACAACAAGGAGGUGAACCUAUAUGAUGCUACCAACUAUAAGUACUAAGGCAAGCAAGAGAUAGUCAAUAACAAAAGCAUACACAAUGUAAAGGUUAGAGAUAACCGCAAGUGGAACCAAUGAAGAAGAGGAUGUGUGACCGAAAUUCCUUCCCUUUGACAGGGAGUACGUCUCCGUUGGAGCAUUGUGGAGGCACAAUGCUCCCCAAUAAGCCACUAGGGCCACCGUAUUCUCCUCACGCCCUCACACAAUGCAAGGUACCGUGAUUCCACUAUAGGUGCCCUUUAAAGGCGGCAACCGAACCUUUACAAACAAGGUUGGGGCAAACUCCACACAAAGCUUGGAGGCUCCCAACAAGACCACGGAGCUUCACCACAAUGGAAUGUGGCUCCGAGGUGACCUCAACUGUCUAGGGUGCUCAAACACCCAAGAGUAACAAGAUCCACAAGGGAUUAGUGGGGGGAAUCAAUUUUCUCUUGGUGGAAGUGUAGAUCUAGGCCUUCUCAACCAAUCCCUAGGAAAUCAACAAGUUUGAUUGGCUAGGGAGAGUGAUCGGGCACUUUUGAGCUUAGGGAGCAACAAUGGAGCUUGGGAGGGUCAAAGGUAGGGUUCUAGAGCAAGAAGAACCCUUUAUAUAGUGCGGGGGGGGGGGAAUCCAACCGUUUUCCCACUCACAGCCCGAGCCCAGCGGUACUACCGCUGAGCCCAUGGUAGUGCAGAGGCACUACCAGGCCAACCACCGCCAAGAAAGUCUUUGCAAAAAGUCCGACGAAGUACAGCUGCAAGGAAGGCGGUACUAAGUUCCUCGAGCGGUACUACCGCUGACCAGGGGCGGUACUACCGCCAUCACAGCGGUACUACCGCUAGGCCCAGCGGUACUACCGCUAGGAGACCUUUUUGCAAGAAGAGAUAAACCAAAGACAAGAACAGCUCCAAAGAUGUAGGGAAAGGAGAUGGAGACAAAUUGUGUGCGUGCAAAAUUGAUUCCAUCCAAGCCUUUCUAGUACGGAUCCCCUCUUAAUAGUACGACGUACCUACGACUCACAAACAAAGAGAACCGUAGAGGACACCGUGCUUCUGUUCCAUGGAGGGUGCCGAAUCGUCUUGUGUUGUUGAUAUAUAUUAUCUAAAAGCUUAAUGCACAUGAUUAGUCCUUUAAGGUACUGUCAUCAAUCACCAAAAUUACUUAGGCACAAAUAUGCCCUAACAAUCUUCCCCUUUUUGGUGGAUUGAUGACAAUACCGGAUUUGCACAGAAGAAAGCAUGUGAAUCAUAAAGAUAAACAAUAGAGAUAAUUGAAGAGCAUAUGACUCAAAGCAUAUGAUAGAAAAUAAGUCUCACAAUAAAACCAUGUCUCACAUCACACGUAGCAAGGACAACAAAACUGAUCAAACCAAGUUCAAAGCAAACACGAUAAAGAUAAGAUAAGCAAAGCUAAAGCAAAGUGCAAAUCCAGCUCCUAGACUCUCUCCCCCUUUGGCACAAGACACCAAAAAGGGGCACACCUAACGACACAGGUGGUCACUCCGCAUACUCAUCAUCCCUAGACGCGUCCGUGGCAUCCGGAUCCUGCUCGUCUUGCUCCUCCUCAAAGUCCUCCUUAGAAGCCUCCUCCUCAGCAUCAGACCCAGUCCUCUGAUAACCUUGAGCCCUCAUCCAAUCAGACUCUGGAGUGAUGUCGUCCUCUGAGCCGCUUGAGAUAGCCACAUCAAGGGUCCUUAAGACACACUUGUGCCUCUGACGGUUCUCCUUCUGGGCCACAUGAGACUGAUAUUGUCCCUUGGCCUGCAUACAGAAGAGAGUCUUCAUAGAAGAAGAGCGAGUCUGUGAAGCAGGUCCUCCUCCAGCACCAGUCUCUGUGUCCGUGUCCAUGUGCUGAGAAGAAGUUGAUGGGUUGGCCUAUUUGUCCUUGAUACGGAGCUUGAUAGGAUCAUGCACAAAAUAGUCAGCCUGAAUAGGGAAGGGAUCUACCAGAUAGACCUCGUGCCACCUCUUUUGAAUAUAGGCAAACAGGUAAGGCCCGUAGAUGGGAACCUUACGGUUCAUGAUGCAGUUCCAGAGCUCAUUGAACAUCACAUGGACAAUGUCGAGAGGCGCAGUCUCCUUAGUCCUUGGCUCCUCACACAGCAGAAGCAUCUCAGCUAGAUGACCAUGCACCUCGUCCUUGUUGCCAAUAUGAGGGAAUAGAGAGUUGCGGAAGACCCGAUGCAUGAUAUCUAGAUGCUUGGGGACCACACCUUUCUUCACAAAAUGUUGUUGCAGCCUGUCCUUGGGGGUGGCAGUAGACGAAGAAGGAGCAUGAGGACGCAUCCCAAGAACCUUUUCGUCCCCCUGAAAGUCGACUUUGAGAAACUGCAUGAACUCUGUCCAGGAACCUGUCAUCUUCUGAGUACCGGUCAUCCAAGUCAUGGUGCGCACGUCAUCACGUGCAAAGUGAACAGUGACAUAGAACUGGGCCACAACAUCUGGAUCAAAGUCUUGUGUGAAGGUGAUGAUCUCUGUAAGGCCAAGCUUUUCAAUCAAUGAGAGAGCCUCACCAAAGUAGUCCGGAUUCCGCCGAAGGUGAACAAGGUCAAUCCACUGCACUGGGACAAAUAUCUUCUUGAAGGGCUUGAUGAUGUCACGAUAGAUCAUGCAGUGAUCCCGUGACCAAACAUAAUCGAUGUUCUUGAUCUGGGCCUUGUAUUCAAGAUAGUGAUUGCGGGUGCAGAAUACCAGAAAAUCCCUAUGGGGCAUAGUGUGAACGUUGAUCCCUUUGUUCUUGGAACCAGUCUUCUUGAAGGACCUCUUCUUGGGAUUCAGACUGGAAGUGGCGGAACCCUCUGGAGCCUCUGAAGUGCGAUAUUGUUGGGUUGGGUGGUACGUGUAGGAUUCGAGCGACGAGCACCACCUGUGACACACAAGAUACACACGCAAAAAGGAGAGACAAAAGGAGUCAUGGCAAUGGUCAAUAAGAAUUAUAAGAAGAAACAUAUUGCCAAGAGAAAUCAAAGAACACAAAACAAAAAAAUAAUCCUCCUGGCGGUAGUACCGCUACCCCUAGCGGUAGUACCGCUGGGGUCCUGGAGGUAGUACCGCUACCGCUGGCGGUAGUACCACUGGGGGUCCUGGCGGUACUACCGCUAGGCUGGCGGUACUACCGCUAGGGUUUGACUUUCAGAUCUGAAUAUAUAAAGACCCUCAAAAACUACUAGAUUCGUUUCAAGAGAUCCACGGCUAAUAAAUAAAAACAUUAUACGAAUCACCAUAGCCCUAACACAAGUGGAACUCGAGAUCAUCUAGAUGGAGACAAGCCUAGUCAAAGGGAUCCAAGUUUGAGAUCAAAUCUAUGAGAAGAAUGAUAAGAGCUACUAGAUCUACAACAUGGAGAACGAGGGCAUGUCAAAAUAAUUGCAAUGAAGAACAUAAAACCUAAACUCCCCUAAGAUAUCUCCUCCGUUCCAUCCAAAAACUAAGCACAAAUCAUAUCGAUGGAUUGAAAUCACCAAGCUCCUAACCCUAGAACAAAAGUCAACAACCAAGAGAAGAAGGGGAGGAGCUUUACCAAAAUCCAUGGCACUUGACGGAGGAAGGAGGAGGGGAGAAAACCCUCCAACUCAAGGGAGAGAAGGGGCUCCGCAGAGGGAGAUCUAAACGGGGGGAGUUCGGAGUAGAGGAAGGGAGAGCCACGAGGAAGAAGAAACAAGGCAAAAACGGGACCCCCCUCCUUUUUAUAGCCCAAUGGGUACGGGCCCAGCGGUAGUACCGCUGGGGUCCUAGUGGUAGUACCGCUGUCCUAGCGGUAGUACCGCUCCCCCUGGCGGUAGUACCGCCGGGGUCCUAGCGGUAGUACCGCUCCCCCUGGUGGUAGUACCGCUCCCCCUUGAGACAGCCCUAAAAAGCCCUAGUCAAGUCGUGAUAGGCUCGGGUCCUGGCGGUAGUACCGCUACCCUUGGCGGUAGUAUCGCUGGGGUCCUGGCGGUAGUACCGCUACCCCUGGCGGUAGUACCGCCCAAAAUGACACAACGAGACAUAGGAUUUUGUGGAAAUGACGUGGGAAACGACUAGUUAGUGUAAUAAAAAGAUAACACCAGCAAGGUAUACUGACUAGUCAUUUUGUAUCCUUUCUUCCAUAUGAGAGAAAGGUGGGGGCGGUGGCCGAGGCCACCUAUGUUUGAGGCAAAGGUAUGAUACCGCGAAGAAUUAUCCUUGGGUUCAUGACCAACGCUCGUCUUUGAAGCACAAGUGCCAUUUAAUAAUGGCCAAAGUGAAAGACUUGAUCGAUUUAUGCACAAUGGGUGGAGGGAAAGUUCAUUGAGAGAACAACACUCCCCCUAUGUCCAUGCCUACACCUAGAACAAGAUGUAAUGCAUAGUGAGGUGCAAAGUGCCUAGUUUCAAUCCACAUUACUUGAAUCAAUGAUAUUUAGCUCAUGCCUUAACUCCCGGAACCUUGCUUCAUCUAGGGGCUUAGUGAAAAUAUCUGCAAGUUGCUCUUCAGUGUUGAUGAAGUGAACCUCAAUAUCAACUUCCUUGAUAUGUUCACGAAUGAAGUGAUGGCGAAUAUCAAUAUGCUUGGUCUUUCUAUGUUGCACCGGAUUGAGGGAAAUCUUGAUAGCACUUUGAUUGUCACAUAGAAGAGGCACUUUGUCACAAGUGACACCGUAAUCCUUUAAAGUUUGCCUCAUCCAUAGCAACUGUGCACAACAACUUGCAGCUGCCACAUACUCAGCUUCGGUGGAAGAUAGUGAGACACAAUUCUGCUUCUUUGAAGACCAACUUACAAGUGAGCGACCAAGGAAUUGGCAUCCUCCAGAAGUUGACUUCCUCUCCACACAAUCUCCUGCCCAAUCUGAGUCAGAAUAGCCCACUAGGUUGAAGUUUUCUCCUUUGGGAUAACAUAGACCAAAGUUUGGGGUAUGAGCCAAAUAUCGAAAGAUUCGCUUAACAGCGAUAAAAUGACUUUCUUUUGGUGCAGAUUGAAACCGUGCACAAAUCCCUACACUCAACAUAAUAUCCGGUCUAGAUGCACAAAGGUAAAGGAGGGAUCCAAUCAUGGAGCGAUAUACCUUUUGAUCCACUCCUUUACCGUUGGGAUCACUGUCAAGCUUGCAUCUUGUUGGCAUGGGAAACUUGACCAGCUUGACAUCCUCUAGGUCGAACCUCUUGAGCAUGUCUUGAGUGUACUUGGCUUGUUUGGUGAAAGUCCCUUCUAAGCCUUGUUUAAUCUCGAAUCCGAGGAAGAACUUCAACUCACCCAUCAUAGACAUCUCAAAUUUCUCGGUCAUUAGUGCAGCAAAUUCUUCAUUGAAAGAAUCGUUAGGAGAACCAAAAAUGAUAUCAUCAACAUAUAGUUGGCAUAUGAACAAAUCCCCUUUAACCCUCUUAGUAAAAAGAGUGGGAUAUAUCUUCCCAAUUUCAAACCCACGAUCUUGUAACAACUCAGUAAGGUACUCAUACCACGCACGUGGGGCUUGUUUAAGGCCAUAGAGUGCCUUAUUAAGUUUGUACACAUGAUUGGGGAGCUUGGGAUAUUCGAAUCCCGGGGGUUGUUUGACAUAGACCAAGUCAUUUAAAGGACCAUUAAGAAAAGAACUUUUCACAUCCAUUUGUUGUAAUUUGAAAUUAUGAUGAGAAGCAAAUGCAAUCAGCAUGCGAAUAGAUUCUAGACGAGCAACAUGGGCAAAGGUUUCACCGUAGUCGAUACCCUCGACUUGGGAGUAGCCUUGGGCCACCAAUCUUGCCUUGUUUCAAAUCACAAUCCCAUUGGCAUCUUGCUUGUUUUUGAAAAUCCAUUUGGUCCCGAUGACAUUAUGUUCCUCCUUUGGUCUUGGCACUAAAUCCCAGACUUGAUUACGCUCGAAGUUGUUGAGUUCUUCAUGCAUGGCCAUAAGCCAAUCCUCAUCAUCGAGCGCUUCAUGUACCUAUUGAGGUUCACAAUACAAAACAAACGCGUGAUGCUCACAAUAAUUCCAAAUUUGUUGACAAGUGGAUACUCCCCUUUUCAAACUGCCAAGCACAUUCUUCAUAAGAUGAGACUUGACUCUCAGCUUGUUCACAAUCUUGGCUGCGCGACGCUCCAAGAGUUCUGCAUUGGAUAACCGGGGAGCAUCGACUUGAUUAUUUUGCUUGCCCUUGCGUUUUGAGCCUCCCUUGGCACCAGUAGCCCUCAUAGGCGUUGCAAAAGGGAAUUGAGAGACAACAUCCUGAUCAACUUGAUUUCUGACUUGAGCAGGUUCACUGGUUUGUCCUUGUUCUUGUGGUUGCUCUUGCUCUUGAUCUUGUGCUUCUAUUUGAUCUGGAUCUUGUAAUUGCACUUGAUCUUGAUCUUGAGCAGGUUCGGAACCUUGGGUAAGCGCUUGUACAUCAUGGGACACAUCACCAUAUUUGAGCAAUUGAUCUUGUCCUUGAGCUUGUUCAACUGGUUGAGGGCCUUCUCUUUGUUCAUCGGAAGCGUGUGGGGCUUGUGAGGAUGAUGGCUCCACUUGAGUAGAGCAUUUUCCUUCUCCUUCGGCCACAAGGGGUUCCUCAAUGGGGAGUAUUUGACCAAUCCCCAUUCUUCUUAUGGCUUGGGGAGGAAUUUCAUCACCUACAUCACAAAGACCACUUUGCUCCACUUGGGAGCCAUUAUUUUCAUCAAACUCCAUGUUACACGUCUCCUCAAUGAGCCCGGUGGACUUGUUGAGGACACGGUAAGCAUGAGAGUUUGUAGCAUAACCAACAAAGAUGCCCUCUUGUGCUCUAGAAUCAAAUUUAGGUAAACGUGCACCUUUCUUGAGAAUGAAACACUUACAACCGAAUACCCGGAAGUACUUGAGAUUGGGUUUGUUUCCGGUGAGAAUCUCAUAUGGGGUCUUGUUCAAGCCUUUGCGGAUAUAGAGCCGAUUGGACGCAUGACAUGCUGUGUUGAUGGCUUCGGACCAAAAGUUAUAUGGAGAUUUGAAUUCUGCCAUCAUUGUUCUUGCAACAUCCAUCAAUGUCCGGUUCUUCCUUUCCGCCACACCAUUUUGUUGAGGGGUAUAUGGUGCUGAAUAUUGAUGUUUUAUUCCCUCAUCACCUAGAAACUCAUCCAAGGUGUAGUUCUUGAACUCGGUGCCGUUGUCACUUCUAAUCAUCAAAAUCUUUGCUUCAUGUUGACGUUGAGCUUCAUUAGCAAAGUUGAUGACAGUUUGUUGAGUCUCACUCUUCCUCUUGAAGAAAUAUACCCAGGUGUAUCUUGAGUAGUCAUCAACAAUCACCAAGCAGUACUUUCUGCCCCAAGACUAUCAAAUGAUGGAGGACCGAAGAGAUCCAUACAAAGGAGCUCCAACGGCCUCUUAGUGUAAAUGAGAGUCGUUGGACGUUGAGUAGUUUCAUGAAUCUUCCCUUCAAUGCACGCACUGCAAGCACGAUCUCUGGAAAAACUCACAUUUGUUAGUCCACGAAUAUGGUCCCCUUUGAGGAGACUUUGCAAAGAUCUCAUAUUGACAUGAGCUAGUCGGCGAUGCCAAAGCCAGCCCACAUCAACUUUAGCUAUCAGACAAGUCGCAGUCUUAGUGGGUCGCUUUGAAAAGUUCACCACAUAGACACCAUUUUAGACAUAUCCAACAUAGGCUACUUUAAGAGUCUUGCUCCACAAAAGGACCACAUUAUCAAGAUUAAAGAAUGUGUAAAAACCCAUAAUUGCAAGUUGACGAACCGAAAGUAAAUUGUAAGCAAGGGACUCAACAAGCAUGACUUUAUCAAUAGAUAACUCUUGAGAGAUGACCACCUUACCAAAUCCCAAUACCUUUGACGAUGAUGCAUUGGUGAAUUGGACAUGGGAGGGCAUAGAUGGAGAAGGAUGCACAUCCACCACUAAGUCCUUGCUUCCUGUCAUAUGAUUUGUUGCUCCAUUAUCGAGCAAUCAUGACACCCCACCGGAAGCAAACUCCUGCAAUAGAUCAAGGCUUGGUUUUAGGUACCCAUUUUUGAAUGGGUCCUUUAAUGUUAGAGACAAGGGUCUUAGGAACCCAAGUAGCCCAUUCAAUGGACUCAUAGUAAGAACCAACAAAUCUGGCAUAAACAUGCCCAUCACCAACACGACAUAAAACAUAGGAAGGAUUGAGUUUGCCGGCUGUGUUGGUAGGAAUGGUUUUGCCCUUCCUGACGCUACCAUUAUCCACCUUGUUCCUGUUCACCUCCUGAGUCCCUUCGCCCUCUUUGACAAAGAUGCCCAUGAGGGUAGGGAAUCGUUUGUUCCUGUUCUUCCUUUUUCUUUUUGACUUGGAUGUAAGUCCAAGUCCCUCCUUUCCUACCACACCCUUUUGAUUGCUCAAGAGGUUGUUCAGGUUCUUCUCGCCUUGGAUGCAUGACACAAGGCCCUUCUCAAGUUUCUCCUUCAACUUGGCAUUUUCCUCCACAAGAUGUACAUGCUCACAACAAGGGUUAGUUGUACAAGCAUUAUCAAUUAAAAUGAAAGGAGGACACGUAGAGAUUUCCUUGGUAAGCUUUGCUUGGAGUUGAUCAUGAGACUCUUCCAGGGAGAAAUGAGCACCUUUCAAGACCUUGUGCGCCUUGUCAAGUGUGUCAAACUCCACUUUGAGUCUGUCAUGGCCAACCCCAAGAGCAUCCUUCUCAGACUUAAGCAUACGAGUAAGAACAGUAGCAUGAUCUAGUUUCUUUUGCACUUUAGCGCAGUCAUCAUUGUAUGACUCCUCAAGAGCCAAAUGAAGAGUGCGCUCCUUUUCAAGUGCAAUAUAUAGUUCAGCAAUCUCAUCGGCAUAGUCACGACUAUGUCCUUGAAGCUCGGAGAUGGUCUCCUCAUGAGACUCGAUGAGGUCAUUAGCCUCACCCAGUUGUUCCAAGAGAGCAACAAAGUGCUUCUUGGGUUCUCCCUUGAUCGUGCACAGAAAUUUGUCAAUAUCAUGCUCAUUAAGUUCCACAACAUCAUCAUCAUCAACACAAUUCAACAAUGAAGGAGAAGUAGUGAUGUUGGUCUUAAUGAUGGGGGUUACCUGAUCGAUACCUUUGGCCAUGAGGCACUUGGCAAUGUGGUUAUCGUUGGGGGCGUUGAAGAGAGACACAUUCUUGGGAGAAGGGGUGGCAAUGGCGACAGUUGCAGUUGCCACCAUAUCGUCAUCGUCAUCAUCAUCGGAGGGGUACUCUUCAAGUGCCACCAUACCCUUUGGGUGGGGUUUCUUCACAAAGUUGUUCUUGUUUGGGAAAGACUUGGUUUUGUCUUUGAGAAUGAGCUUGCCCCCAUUGUCUUCCCUCUUCUCAUAGGGACAUUUUGAGUUGUUCUUGGUGAAGUUGGUUCUUGAGUUCCUCUUGUUGCCCCAGAAUUGCCUUGACGCAAGAGCCAUGUGCUCAUGAUAAGCAUACUUAGUGUCUUCAGGGCAGCUCUCCAGUUCCUCAUCCUCUUCUUAUUCUUCAGAAGCAUCUGUCGCCUUUAAAGCAAGGUUGGGUGAAGCUGUCUUUGAACAAAAUCGAGCAAGUGCAUUGUCAGCUGUCUCGUUCAUGAUUGACAUUGCAAUNNNNNNNNNNNNNNNNNNNNNNNNNNNNNNNNNNNNNNNNNNNNNNNNNNNNNNNNNNNNNNNNNNNNNNNNNNNNNNNNNNNNNNNNNNNNNNNNNNNNAUGUAAUUAUAUAUGAUAGGCUCAUAUCCAGUACAGUUUCCUUUAGGUAGUAGCGAAUAAAAAUGGAUAAAUACAAGGACAACUGAUAUGAGAAAGAGAAAAUUAGCAUAUCGGCUUUCCAUUGUGAAGAAGCACAAUAAGCGCUCCAAAAAGAGGCUUGACUGCAAACAAAAAAAAUCAACAUACAUCAUUGUUGGUUGAGCUGAAAUUAGUUGGCCUACACACUAUUACUUUUCAAUACCAGCUAUUAAGCUCUUUGUUAAAUCUAUGGGGGUCCAAUACCCAAACAAAGUCAGCAGACUUCUUCGCACGCCUCCAACCGUUCUCCUCUCCAAAACUGCAUGAAGACAAUAAAGGUUCCAUUAUUUAUCAUGCAGGUGCGUUGAAAGUGAACUACAUAUUAGGAUUGGAAGUACAAGCACAGAUCACAUGAGUAGGAAGAGCCACAUGAGUAGGAAAGCUCUUAAUGAUGAUUUAAGUCACUUCAUCUUCUACUUCUCAAUCACCAAUUGUGACGGGGCCUAAAACAAAUUUAUUAAAUUCAGUCCAAGAACACAAAUANNNNNNNNNNNNNNNNNNNNNNNNNNNNNNNNNNNNNNNNNNNNNNNNNNNNNNNNNNNNNNNNNNNNNNNNNNNNNNNNNNNNNNNNNNNNNNNNNNNNGUACCCGUACUUAACCGUCCGUACCGACCUCGUCGACUACUCAACCCUACCGCCUCCCGACGGCCCGUAAMCSUAAAACCGUACUACCGGCUCACUAAGCCCCGUUGCGGCGCUCGAGCUCAUCCGCGUCGACCCUGGGUCCACCCUGGCCUGUGCCCAGGUCGUUGCCACACCACUCGCCGUCGCGGCCGACCUCAACCACCACUGUUGUCGAUCUCAACCCACCCGCCUCCGCGGCCGUACCUCUGCCCGCUUGCUGCCCCCGUUUCUGCGCUCAAGCACAGCUUCUGGAUCAAAUCAACGCGACAGCUACAGUGACUGGGGAUGAUGCGUCUGCUCGAUGCAGAACGGCGGUGCCGCGGAUAAGGCGCGACGAAGCGAGGUACUUGCAGGUGGAGCGCGGGCUCCAUGGCUCACACGGGGAACUCCGAGGUUAUGGCGCGGCAACAACGACUCCUUAUGGCCAGAUAGAGGCGCCUAACCCUUGCUUCCCUCAUCGUAUCCCCUCCUCCGGCAGGAACUCAUCAUCUGGUGAGAUCCCCUCCCCAUGCCUUCAACCGUGUGUCAAGCACCGACAAGAAUUUUUUUUUGUGAGGAUUUGUUUGCUGAUGAAUUAAUGUAUUGAAUGUAAGGGAUAGGAAUUAACAAUGAACGGGUUGAUUUCUUAACAAAAUAGGAUAUGACUAACUACGUUAGUUAGUUAGUUUAUUAUUUUAAUAAAUCAAAAUAAUUAUAAAAAAAUUAAAAACGUGUGGUAUUUUUUUCUCCCGUUGUAACGCACGAGUCCUUUUGUUAGUUUUUUCUUAAAUGACAUCUCGUUGCAGAGCCACGCAAAUGCAUAACAAACCAUGAGCACACAACUCCAGGAUAGAUAAACGCGUGCUAGUAAACCAGGAGUACAUAAUCUCAAGUGUUGUAUAGUCCGUUACGUGAAUGUUGUGUAGCUUAUAUAUUUAAAAGGUUCGUGGCUGCUGCCUCCAAAUGACAGCUACUCCCUUCGUUUCUAAAUAUAAGUCUUUUAAGAGAUUUCAUUAAAUGACUAUAUACCGAGCAAAAUGGAUGAAUCUACGCUCUAAAGUAUGUCUAUGUACAUCCGUAUGUAGUUUUUUUGUGAAACCCUAAAAAAACUUAUAUUUAGGAACGGAGGGAGUACCUGCCAUCAAUCAGCCGGUGAUGUUGCAAGAACACGAUAACCUAUUCAGCCACUAACCAAAUUGUAGCCAGAGUGUGUUCAAGAGCCUCUCUAAUUUUGAUGUGAAACUAAAAGAGCGUGUGUGUCUUGAUGGACAUUUUAUGUCGUUAACAUUAGCUGUGGGUCAAGUUCAAAAAAAUAUAUUAAAAAAAAUAGCUGCGGGUCAGCAGUGGUUAUUAUUGUCUAAUUAGCCGAGUCAAGACCGCGCACUCUUGUUCCGACCCCCCCCCCCCCCGGUAUUUUUAUUUCCGUCUACUCCUAGCGUGUNNNNNNNNNNNNNNNNNNNNNNNNNNNNNNNNNNNNNNNNNNNNNNNNNNNNNNNNNNNNNNNNNNNNNNNNNNNNNNNNNNNNNNNNNNNNNNNNNNNNGUACUUCUUCCGCCCAGAGUUUUUUUUAUAAAAUCCAARUCCAAGAAGGCCAAGGKCCCCCGCCGCCUCCGACGACUCCGAAGCCCCAGGCCCCGCACUCGAUGCUGCCGCCGACGACACCGCGGUACGUCUCGAUCUCCACCCCUAUACGCAAUCCGAAUCCACAAUGCCCAUCCAAAUCUCACAACUGCUCUGCGCACAACCGACGGCGCAACUGCUAGCACCACCUACAGUACGUAGUUUCUUUUUCUUUUCGCAAAAGAACUGAGGUAGAACUUUCCCGCUGCACCGAGAGUAAAAUAAUUAACACUGCUCUUACUUACAGUGGCUACUACGUACUUAGUUUAAUUUUACAUCUAAGUGUGCUUUAGUGGGCUCAUUAGUAGUAUAAUGGCAUGCUCAUUGGUUGGACUAUAGCUUUGUUUGGCGCCACCAAACAUGUGAUUAGGGAACUGACUGAUGAGUGAGAACAGCGGUAGAUGCCAUCGUCCCGACAUGUUGGUCAGACACGCAUGUGCAUCACGCCGUUGCUACGGGCAGAGCAGUUAAUGGGAAAUAACAAAAAAAACUAAACGUUUCAAAGUCAAGCUUCUGCCAGUCACUGUAGCAUUAUAUAAACUCCGAGCGUGUACUGCGCCCGGCCGUAAACAAUGCAUUCCGGAAGCCUCCACGACACUGCUCACCACACAUUAUAUUAUUUUUACCGCCACUUGGAAUUGCUUAUAAAAUCUGCCUCUUCCGUUGUGCAGGGCGCUGUCCAGAGCAUGGCAGGAAGCAUCAUGUCGGCGUGCGCGAUGGCGCUGGGCCUCGUCGCCCUCCUCGCCUAGACGACGACGAGCAAAGCCGGCGAAUGCGGGAGGCCCGGCCCGGCCCCCGGCCCCGUCAAGGCCCGCCACGAGGACACGCAAUCAUGCACGCACCGGGCCUCUUUCGGACGAGCUGUCCGUCUUUGCGCGCCACCGCAUUUUGUGCUGUCUGUAUUUUUUUCUAACUGGCCGGACGGGCCGGCCUCUCCUGUGUAGCCCCGCUCACGCGCGUUCGUUCGCCUCGGAUUCUUUCUUUCUUGCCCCCCUCCCUGUACCGCCAAAUUGAUGAGAUUUGAUUUAUAUUUUUAUUUAUCAUUACUCCCCUUCAUUGUAUUAUGCCAUCCUUGUUUAAUCAUAGAUCUGUCUCUUUCAUCAUGCGCGCGUGCACUGUUUGUUGGGGGUGGGGUGUCCCGUCCUGAGACGUGAUGUGUGCGGUGCUGGCCGGCCAGAUCUGGUUUUGGUUCGAUGUGUAUGGCGCUUGCAUCUGGUCUGGACCUGGACCAGGGACACCGCAACCGAAAUGGGAAUUUUACUUUACCUUUCUCGGACGUGCUCGUUCUAACACGGUCGCAGCUGAAAUGCUAAGACGAUUUGGGUAUUUUUUCCACCCAUGCUUGCCUAUUUAUCUCGAGAAAGAAACUAGCAGGAGCAAAAGAUGGUAGGCAUCUCGUUUAUCACAAGGAGAAAUACGUUCUCCCGAAAUAUCAACCCAUCGAUUCGACCACUGCCGUCAUCAGAAGGAGCCGUUGCGGACUCACUUGCAGAUGCUUUUAACCUCACAAAUGUUGAAAUAAAAAAAAUUAUGUUAUUCUAUACCUAAUAAUAAUAAAGCGACUAUUGCUUUCGUCGGAAAACUCACCGCGACAUUUUCAUAAAAAAAGCCCCUGUAAUUUUUGUUGUUCAACCCGCGCUCCAUCAUUUAUCUCCAACGCAAAAGAAAAAAAACGAUUCGCUGCAAAAAAUAUACUCGUACGCAUCGCCUCAUCCCGUCGAUCCUGGGCCACCCUGGCCUGUGCCCAGGCCGCCGCCACACCACUCGCCGUCGCGGCCGACCUCAACCGCCACCGCUGUCGAUCUCAACCCACCGCCUCCGCGGCCGUACCUCUCACCGCUCACUGCCCCCGUUUGCGGCGCUCGAGCUCAUCGUCGUGACCUGKACCCUUGGUACCACCCUGGCCUGUGCCCAGGUCGUUGCCUACGGACCACNNNNNNNNNNNNNNNNNNNNNNNNNNNNNNNNNNNNNNNNNNNNNNNNNNNNNNNNNNNNNNNNNNNNNNNNNNNNNNNNNNNNNNNNNNNNNNNNNNNNGAGUGUUCACAAUCAUAGAUGGUGUCAAGGAUGAUAUAUUUAUAUGUGAACCUCUCCUUCUUUAUCACUUCCCAUUAAUUGCAACAAUGACCAAGGUCUACGUUUGUCUACCCUCAACAAGUUUGAAUCAUCAUCCUUUUUAUAUAUGAAGCCAUCACUUCCCAUAAGAUCACUAUAUGAUCUCUCAUGGUUUUUUUCUUUCUCGAUCUUUUGAUCAUGGCAAGAGGCAAAGCCCUUCAACUAAGAUACUCCUUAUUAUAUGGCUCACGAGCUCGAAUACAUCAGGGGGAGACGCAAAGCAAAAACUCAAGCCUAAAACACUAAGACAUUUAUUCUACUAGAGAAAGAGAAAAACUGAAAAAGGAACAAACUAAAAACAAAGGUAAAGGCAAAAGAUAUGAUGGUGAUACGAUACCGGGGCAACUCCCCCAAGCUUGGCACAAGCCAAGGGGAUUGCCCAUACCCAUGCUCAGUUGUCUUCCUUUGGAGUGAUGGUGGUCACUGGUGAAGACGACGAACGCUCCGUCUUGAUGCGGGUAGUCGUCAGGGGUGUGGGCCGUUGCCGCGAGGCGGCGGUGGCGGAGCNGAGCAUGAUUGGGAGNNNNNNNNNNNNNNNNNNNNNNNNNNNNNNNNNNNNNNNNNNNNNNNNNNNNNNNNNNNNNNNNNNNNNNNNNNNNNNNNNNNNNNNNNNNNNNNNNNNNCGACCGUUAACCCCCCCUUCGGGUUCCGGCGGCCCUCCGGGUUCGGGCCGUUUAAUGGGGGCCCCCGUCGUUUGGCCCCCCUUUUUCGGCUCCCAUCUUUCCUAUAAGGAGGGUUUCGUUCCNUAAAAAAUCAAGAGUAGGCUUUCGGGAGGAAUCGCCGCCGCCACAGGCGGAACUUGAACAGAACCAGUCUAGAGCUCCGGCAGGGCCGUCCUGCUGGGGGAAACUUCCCUCCCGGAGGGGGAAAUCGUCGCCAUCGUCAUCACCAACACUCCUCUCAUCGGAGGGGACUCAUCACCAUCAACAUAUUCAUCAGCACCAUCUCAUCUCCAAACCCUAGUUCAUCUCUUGUAACCAAUCUCCGUCUCGCGAUUCCGAUUGGUACUUGUAAGGUUGCUAGUAGUGUUAAUUACUCUUUGUAGUUGAUGCUAGUUGGAUUACUCGGUGGAAGAUCAUAUGUUCAGAUCUCUAAUGCUAUUCAAUACCUCUCUGGUCAUGAACAUAAUUAUGUCUUUGUGAAUAUCUAUGCAAUUGUUUAUUUCUAUAGGCAUCACGUCCGAAACAAGUAGACCGAUACUUUCUGCAUCUACUACUAUUACUCCACACGUCGACCGCUAUCCAGCAUGGAUCUAGUGUANNNNNNNNNNNNNNNNNNNNNNNNNNNNNNNNNNNNNNNNNNNNNNNNNNNNNNNNNNNNNNNNNNNNNNNNNNNNNNNNNNNNNNNNNNNNNNNNNNNNGUAACGUAACGUAACGUAACGUAACGUAACGUAACGUAACGUACGUACGUACGUAACGUACGUACGUACGUACGUAACGUAACGUAACGUAACGUAACGUAACGUAACGUAACGGUAUUAAAACCCCGUAACGACGUUUUUAACCCUUUACGACNGUANANACCCUUAGUCCCUGUAGUGGCCUUGCUUGCCGCUACUGUCAGUGGGAAAGGUCACCACAUGGUAGAACCCAAAACCAAGCACUUCUCCCAUUGCAAGAAUCAUAGAUCUAGUUGGCCAAACAAAACCCAAGACUCGGAGAGACUUACAAGGAUAUCAAAUCAUGCAUCUAAGAAAUAAGCAAAGACUCAAAUAUAUAUCAUAGAUAAUCUGAUCACAAAUCCACAAUUCAUCGGAUCUCGACAAACACACCGCCAAAGAAGAUUACAUCGGAUAGAUCUCCAUGAAGAUCAUGGAGAACUUUGUAUUGAAGAUCCAAGAGAGAGAAGAAGCCAUCUAGCUACUAACUACGGACCCGUAGGUCUGAAGUGAACUACUCACGAGUCAUUGGAGGGGCGAUGAUGAUGAUGAAGAAGCCCUCCAACUCCAAAGUCCCCCUCCGGCAGGGCGCUGGGAAGGGUCCCUCUUCAAAUAAACCUUGCAAAAUAAGAGAGAAAAAGGCAUAAAUAUGGUACCAAAAAGUAAUAUAACAGCCCAAAAAAGCAAUAAAUAUCAACAUUAAAAGCAUNNNNNNNNNNNNNNNNNNNNNNNNNNNNNNNNNNNNNNNNNNNNNNNNNNNNNNNNNNNNNNNNNNNNNNNNNNNNNNNNNNNNNNNNNNNNNNNNNNNNGAUAACCCAUAAGAUAGGGACGCAACAGUUUUCGAGGUAGAGUAUUCAACCAAUUUAUUGAUUCGACACAAGGGAGCCAAGAAUAUNUCGAGUAUAGUAUUGAGUUGUCAAUUCAACACACCUGAAAGNUUUAAUAUCUGCAACAAGUAUUUAGUAGCAAAGUAGUAUGGAAGUAACGGUAACUGUGGCAAACGUGAGAGUAGCUGUUUUUGUAGUGAUUGUAACAAUAGCAACAGAAAAGUAACUUAGCAAAGACCAAUAUGUGGAAAGCUCGUAGGCAAUUGAUCGGUGAUGGAUAAUUUUUUCGGGGUGCAUUCAUCAUGCAACAGUAAUAACAUAGGGUGAUACAGAACUAGCUCCAAUUCAUCAAUGUAAUGUAGGCAUGUAUUCCAUAUAUAGUCAUACGUGCUUAUGGGAAAAGAACUUGCAUGCCAUUCUUUKKCCUACUCUCCGUUGUAGGGCCAACCCGGGGGGUUUCCUAAUGGGAAAACUAGGGAUAUUAAGGGCCUCCUUUUUAANGACAACCGGACCAAAAGGCCAUUAACCCAUUUAGUGAAAUACCGUAUCGAACUCCUCNNNNNNNNNNNNNNNNNNNNNNNNNNNNNNNNNNNNNNNNNNNNNNNNNNNNNNNNNNNNNNNNNNNNNNNNNNNNNNNNNNNNNNNNNNNNNNNNNNNNUAACAGAAAGCUUAAACCCUAGUUUAUGCGUUGCUUCGUAAAGGGGCUGAUUUGGAUCCACUAGUUUAAUGUUAUGGUUAGACUUUGUCUUAAUUCUUCUUUCGUAGUUGCGGAUGCUUGCGAGAGGGGGUUAAUCAUAAGUGGGAUGGUUGUCCAAUUAAGGGCAAUACCCAAGCGCCGGUCCACCCACAUAUCCAACUAUCAAAGUAACGAACGCGAAUCAUAUGAACAUGAUGAAAAGUAGCAUGACAGAAAUUCCCGUGUGUCCUCCGGAGCAUUUUUCCUCCUAUAAGACUUUGUCCAGCCUUGUCCCUUGCUACAAAAGGGAUUGGGCCACUUUGCUGCACCAUUGCUACUUUUUUUACUUGUUGCUUGCUACGAAUCACCUCACCAUACAAUCACAUGUUACCGAUAAUUUCAGUGCUUGCAGAUAUUACCUUGCUGAAAACCACUUGUCAGAUCCUUUUGCUCCUUGUUGGGUUCGACACUCUUACUUAUCGAAAGGACUACGAUUGAUCCCCUGUACUUGUGGGUCAUCAAGACUCUUUUCUGGAGCCGUUGCCGGGGAGUGAAGCGCCUUUGGUAAGUGGAACUUGAUAGGAAACAUUCAUAUAGUGUGCUGAAUUUAUUGUCACUUGUCACUAUGGAAACUAAUUCUUUGAGGGGCUUGUUCGGGGUAUCUUYACCUCAAACGGAAGAACAAAGAGUUGCUCCUCAACCUGCUUCACCUACUAGAAAAUAUUUGCUUUGAAUUUCCUUCGAGUAUGCUUGAGAAACUGCUGGCUAAUCCUUUUACAGGAGUAUGGAACAUCACAUCCAGACUUGCAUCUAAUAUAUGUAGAUGAAGUUUGNGGUUUAUUAAGCUUGGCAGGGUUUUUUCCCCCGAAGGUAUUGAAGGUCAAUAGAGGUCUUCUUAUCUUUGAAGGNUAAGGCGUUUAGACAUUGGUACUAGGCUAUGUGAUGAUANNNNNNNNNNNNNNNNNNNNNNNNNNNNNNNNNNNNNNNNNNNNNNNNNNNNNNNNNNNNNNNNNNNNNNNNNNNNNNNNNNNNNNNNNNNNNNNNNNNNCAAGCUAUAAGAGCUGUGUGUUGAACUAUAACAUGCAAGGGAUGAACAAGUCACCCGGCGAGUUAUUCGCGAUGCUGAAAGUCGCAGAGUCAGAACUCCGUAAAGAGCAUCAAGUGUUGAUGGUGAAUAAGACCACCAGUUUCAAGAGAAACGACAAAUGGAAGAAGGGUAAUUCAAAGAAGAGCGGCAAGCCUGAUGCCAAUCCAACGAAGAAGCCCAAAGUAGGACCUAAGCCUGAAACAGAGGGCUAUUAUUGCAAGGGUAUGGGUCACUGGAAGCGCAACUGCCCCAAGUAUCUGGCUGAUAAGAAGGCGGCCAAGGAAAAAUCAGGUGUAUUUGAUAUACAUGUUAUUGAUGUGUACUUAACCAGCUCUCGUAGUAGUGCCUGGGUAUUCGAUACCGGUUCUGUUGCUCAUAUUUGCAACUCGAAACAGGAACUGCGGAAUAAGUGAAGGCUGGCGAAGGAUGAAGUGACGAUGCGCGUGGGAAAUGGUUCCAAGGUUGAUGCAAUCGCCGUCGGCACAGUUUCACUUCAGUUACCAUUAGGAUUAGUUAUGAACUUAAAUAAAUGUUAUUUAGUGCCUGCUUUAAGCAUGAACAUUAUAUCUGGAUCUUGUUUAUUGCGAGACGGUUACUCGUUUAAGUCAGAGAAUAAUGGUUGUUCUAUUUCUAUGAGUAAUAUAUUUUAUGGUCAUGCACCCAAUGUGAAAGGAUUGUUCAUAUUGAAUCUUGAUAGUGAUAAUACACAUAUACAUAACAUUGAGACCAAAAGAGUUAGAGUUAACAAUGAUAGCGCCAUUUUUUAUGGCACUGCCGCUUAGGUCAUAUUGGUGUAAAGCGCAUGAAGAAACUCCAUACCGAUGGACUUUUGGAGUCACUUGACUUUGAUUCACUUGACACGUGCGAACCAUGCCUCAUGGGCAAGAUGACUAAAAUUCCGUUCUCCGGAACAAUGGAGCGUGCAAGUGACUUGUUGGAAAUCAUACAUACAGAUGUGUCUGGUCCGAUGAGUGUGGAGGCACGCGGCGGAUAUCGUUAUUUUCUCACCUUCACUGACGAUUUGAGUAGAUACGGUUAUGUCUACUUGAUGAAGCACAAGUCUGAAACAUUUGAAAAGUUCAAACAAUUUCAGAGUGAAGUCGAAAAUCAUCAUAACAAGAAGAUCGAGUUCCUAUGGUCUGAUCGUGGGGGUGAAUAUCGGAGUUUCGAGUUUGGUGCUCACUUAAGACAAUGUGGAAUUGUUUCACAGUUGACACCGCCUGGAACACCAGAGCGUAAUGGUGUGUUCGAACAUCGUAAUCAUACUUUAUUUGAGAUGGUGCGAUCUAUGAUGUCUCUUACCGAUUUGUCGUUAUCGUUUUGGGGUUAUGCAGUAGAAACAACUGCAUUCACUUUAAAUAGGGCACCAUCGAAAUCCGUUGAGACGACACCAUAUCAGCUGUGGUAUGGCAAAAGACCAAAGUUGUCGUUUCUUAAAGUUUGGGGAUGUGAUGCUUAUGUCAAAAAGCUUCAGGCUGAAAAGAUGGAAUGCAAAGCGAAAAAGUGCGUCUUCAUAGGUUACCCAAAAGAGACAGUUGGGUAUACCUUCCGUCUCAAAUCCGAGGGCAAAGUGUUUGUUGCUAAGAACAGAGCUUUUCUCGAGAAGGAGUUUCUCUCGAGAGAAUUGAGUGGGAGGAAGAUAGAACUUGAUGAGGUUGUCGAACCUCUCAUCCCUCUGGAUGGUGGCGCAGGGCAAGGGGAAACCCGUGUCGUUGCGACGCCGGUUGAGGAGGAAGUUAAUGAUGAUGAUCAUGAAACUCCGGAUGAAGUUCCUAUCGGACCUCGCAUGUCGACGAGACUGCGUACUACUCUAGAGUGGUACGGUAAUCCCGUCUUAUCAAUUAUGUUGUUGGACAACAAUGAGCCUGCGAAUUAUGAAGAAGCAAUGGUGGGCCCGGAUUCCAACAAAUGGUUGGAGGCCAUGAACUCCGAGAUAGGAUCUAUGUAUGAAAACCAAGUGUGGACUUUGGAAGUACUACCUGAAGGCCGCAAGGCUAUUCACAACAAAUGGAUCUUUAAGAAGAAGACGGGCGCUGACGGUAAUGUGACCGUUUAUAAAGCUAGACUUGUGGCAAAGGGUUUUUCACAAGUUCAAGGAAUUGACUACGAUGAGACAUUCUCACCCAUACCAAUGCUUAAGUCCGUCCGAAUCAUGUUAGCGAUAGCUGCAUUUUUCGAUUAUGAAAUCUGGCAGAUGGAUGUCAAAACGGCGUUCCUUAACGGUUUCCUUAAGGAAGAGUUGUAUAUGAUGCAACUUGAAGGUUUUGUCGAUCCUAAAAAUGCUAACAAAGUGUGCAAGCUCCAGCGAUCCAUUUAUGGACUGGUGCAAGCAUCUCGGAGUUGGAAUAAACGCUUUGAUGAGGUGAUCAAAGCAUUUGGGUUUAUACAGGUGGUUGGAGAAUCCUGUAUUUACAAGAAAGUGAGUGGGAGCUCUGUGGCGUUCCUAAUACUAUAUGUGGAUAACAUAUUACUGAUUGGAAACGGCUGGAGCUUUUGGAGAGCAUAAAGGAUUACUUGAAUAAAAGUUUCUCUAUGAAGGACCUAGGAGAAGCUGCUUACAUUCUAGGCAUAUAGAUCUAUAGGGAUAGAUCAAAACGCCUGAUAGGUCUUUCGCAAAGCACGUACCUUGAUAAAGUUUUGAAGAGGUUCAAAAUGGAACAGUCCAAGAAGGGGUUCUUGCCAGUUUUACAAGGUACGAGAUUGAGUAAGACUCAGUGCCCAGCAACUGAUAAAGAUAGAGAGCAUAUGAGUACCGUCCCCUAUGCUUCAGCCAUAGGUUCUAUCAUGUAUGCAAUGUUGUGCACUAGACCGGACGUUAGCCUGGCCAUAAGUAUGGCAGGCAGGUUCGAGAGUAAUCCAGGAGUGGAUCACUGGACGGCGGUCAAGAAUAUCCUGAAGUACCUGAAAAGGACUAAGGAGAUGUUUCUCGUAUAUGGAGGUGACAAAGAGCUCGCCGUAAAAGGUUACGUCGAUGCAAGCUUUGAUAUAGAUCCGGACAACUCUAAGUCGCAGACCGGAUACGUAUUUAUUCUUAAUGGGGGUGCGGUAAGCUGGUGCAGUUCCAAGCAAAGCAUCGUAGCUGAUUCUACAUGUCAAGCGGAGUACAUGGCCGCCUCGGAGGCAGCUAAGGAGGGUGUCUGGAUGAAGCAGUUCAUGACGGAUCUUGGAGUUGUGCCGAGCGCACUGAAUCCAAUAACCCUGUUUUGUGACAACACGGAAGCCAUGGCCUUAGCAAAGGAACCACGGUUUCACAAGAAGACCAGACACAUCAAACGACGCUUCAACCUCAUCCGCGACUACGUCGAGGAGGAGGACUUGAAUAUCUGCAAAGUGCACACGAAUCUGAAUGUGGCAGACCCGCUAACUAAACCUCUUCCACGGGCAAAGCAUGAUCAACACCAGAACUGUAUGGGUGUUAGAUUUAUUACAAUGUAAUUCACAUGACGAUGUGAGGACUAGAUUAUUGACUCUAGUGCAAGUGGGAGAGUGUUGGAAUUAUGCCCUAGAGGCAAUGAUAAAUAAGUUAUUAUCAUAAUUCCUGUAUCAAGAUAAUCGUUUAUUAUCCAUGCUAUAAUUGUAUUGAAUGAAGACUUAGAUACAUGUGUGGAUACAUAGACAAAACAAUGUCCCUAGCAAGCCUCUAGUUUGCUAGCCAGUUGAUCAAGGAUAGUCAAGGUCUUCUGACUAUGUACAAGGUGUUGUUGCUUGAUAACUCGAUCACAUCAUUGAGUGAAUCAUGUGAUGGACUAGAACCAAAUUAAUGAACGUAGCAUGUUGAUUUUGUCAUUUUAUUGCUACUGUUUUCUACAUGUCAAGUAUUUAUUCCUAUGACCAUGAGAUCAUAUAACUCACUGGCACCAGAGGAAUGCCUUGUGUGUAUCAAACAUCACAACGUAACUGGGUGACUACAAAGAUGCUCUACAGGUAUCUCUGAAGGUGUGGAUCAAGACUCGAAUUUGUCACUCCGUGUGACGGAGAGGUAUAUCGGGGCCCAAUCGGUAAUACAACAUCACACACAUGCCUUGCAAGCAAUGUGACUUAGUGUAAGUCACGGGAUCUUGUAUUACGGAACAAGUAAAGAGACUUGCCGGUAAAUGAGAUUGAAAUAGGUAUGCGGAUACUGACGAUCGAAUCUCGGGCAAGUAACAUACCGAAGGACAAAGGGAAUGACAUACGGGAUUAAAUGAAUCCUUGGCACUGAGGUUCAAUCGAUAAGAUCUUCGUAGUAUAUAUAGGAUUCAAUAUGGGCAUCCAGGUCCCGCUAUUGGAUAUUGACCGAGGAGUCCCUCGGGUCAUGUCUACAUAGUUCUCGAACCCGCAGGGUUUGCACACUUAAGGUUCGGUGAUGUUUUAUGUGUAUUUGAGUUAUAUGGUUGGUUACCGAAUGUUGUUCGGAGUCCGGAUGAGAUCACAGACGUCACGAGGGUUUCCGGAAUGGUUCGGAGACGAAGAUUGUUAUAUAGGAUGACCUCAUUUGAUUACCGGAAAGUUUUCGGGCAUUACCGGGAAUGUACCGGGAGUGACGAAUGGGUUCCGGAUGUUAACCGGGGGGCCCAGCCCACCCGGGGGAAGCCCAUAGGCCUUAGGGGUGCCGCACCAGCCCUAAGUGGGCUGGUGGGACAGCCCUAGAGGCCCUAUGCGCAGGAGAUAAAGAAAUCAAAUGAAAAAAAGGGGAAGUGGGAAGGAAGCGAAGGACUCCACCUUCCAAUCCUAGUUGGACUAGGAUUGGAGGAGGAUUCCUCCUCCCCUUGGUUCGGCCGACCCGUUGGGGCUCCCUUGAGCCUCAAGGCAAGGCCCUCCCCCCUCCCUCCUAUAUAUACUGAGGUAUUAGGGCUGAUUUGAGACAACUUUGCCACGGCAGCCUGACCACAUACCUCCACGGUUUUUCCUCUAGAUCGUAUUUUUGCGGAGCUUGGGCAGAGCCCUGCUGGGAUAGAUCAUCACCAAUCUCCGGAGCACCGUCACCCUGCCGGAGAACUCGUCUACCUCUCCGUCUCUCUUGCUGGAUCAAGAAGGCCGAGAUCAUCGUCGCGCUGUACGUGUGCUGAACGCGGAGGUGCCGUCCGUUCGGCACUAGAUCGGAGCGGAUCAUGGGACGGAUCGCGGGACGGUUCGCGGGGCGGAUCGAGGGAUGUGAGGACGUUCCACUACAUCAACCGCGUUUCUUAACGCUUCCUGCUGUGCGAUCUACAAGGGUACAUAGAUCGGAAAUCCCCUCUCGUAGAUGGACAUCACCAUGAUAGGUAUUGCAUGUGCGUAGGAUUUUUUUGUUUCCCGUAACUCGUACCCUACAGCUUAUGAUGAUGCUUUGCUUGAUACUGCUGUGCCACUGGGUGCAUUCCUUGAUGCACAAAUUGCUAUAGUUGCUGCUGAAUGUGAUGAUACUUCUGAAUCUGCUAAAUUAUUGAAGUAGAACCUGUUGUUUCACCUGUUAGAACUAGCUCUCCUAGAUAUGAAUUGCCUAAUAUACCCGAGGGUUACGUUAUGGAGGGAGAGGUAGGUGAUGACUUUCUUGCUUAUAAGGAUAGUUAUGAUCUUGAGAAUUUAUUGAUCAAGUGGAAAGAAAAAUCUCUGAAUGCUAGAAUGAAAUACGAUCCUAAGUUUGCUACUUCUCCCAUCUUUGUGACUGAUAAGGAUUAUGAAUUCUCUGUUGAUACUGAGUUGAUCACUUUGGUUGAAUCUGAUCCUUUUCAUGGUUAUGAGUCUGAAAUGGCUGUAGCACAUCUUACUAAGCUGAAUGAUAUAGCCACCUUAUUCACGAGUGAGGAAAAGAUUCGCCAUUACUAUAUCCUUAAGUUGUUUCCUUUCUCGCUAAAGGGUGAUGCUAAGACUUGGUUUACUUCUCUUGCUGCUCGUUGUGUGCGUAGUCCCCAGGAUAUGAUCUACUACUUCUGUGAGAAAUAUUUUCCUCCCCAUAAGAAACAAGCUGCCUUGCAGUAUAUAUAUAUAUAACUUUGUGCAAGUUGAAGAAAAGAGUCUCCCACAAGCUUGGGGAGGCUUGUUCAGUUACUGAAUGCUUUGCCUGAUCACCCUCUUGAGAAAAAUGAAAUACUUGAUAUCUUUUAUAAUGGACUAACCGAUGCUUCUAGGGACCACCUAGAUAGUUAUGCUGGUUGUGUUUUCAGGGAACGAACUAUGGAACAAGCUGAAAUUCUAUUGAAUAAUAUCUUGAGCAAUGAUAAUGCUUGGACUAUUUCCGAACCACCUCCGAAGCUAACUCCGAAGAAAAGAGGUAUUCUAUUCCUCAGUCCUGAAGAUAUGCAAGUAGCCAAGAAAUCUAUGCAAGAGAAAGGUAUUAAAUCUAAAGAUGUUAAGAAUUUACCACCUAUCGAAGAGAUACAUGGUCUUGAUAACCUGACACAGGUAGUAGAGGUAAAUUCUCUUCGUAGAUUCAAUGAGAGUGAUAUUCCUUUUGAUAAACCUACUAGCUUAUGCUUAGAUGAAUUUGAUAACUUUGUUGCCAAACAACAAAGUUUCAAUGAUUAUGUUAGCAGGCAAUUGGAACAAAAUGCUCGCAUGAUUAAUCAUUUAAGUGCUUGUGUGGAUAGAAAUGUCAAUGAUCUUAAGCUUUUGAGUAAACAUGCCUCUAUGGUCACUACUCAAGUAGAACAAGUACUUAAGGCUCAAAAUGACUUGCUCAAUGAGUUGAAUCACAAUUCUGUUAGAGUCGUCACUAGAGGUGGUAGAAUGACUCAAGAACCUUUGUAUCCUGAGGGCCAUCCUAAGAGAAUUGAACAAGAUUCUCAAGGAGUUAGCACUGAUGCACCUAGUCAUCCUAGUAAUAGGAAGAAAACGAAAGAUGAUAGGAAUUUGCAUGCUAGCAAACCAGCUGCUGUUACACGUGAGAAUCCAAAUGAUAUAUCUGUUUCUGAUGCCGAAACACAAUCUGGUGAUGAACAUGAGACUAGUGAUAAUAUCUAUAGUGGUGUUCAUGAUGAUGCUCAACCUAGUAAUGAUAAGGAUGUGGAGAUUGAACCUGUUGUUGAUCUUGAUAACCCACAACCUAAGAACAGGAGAUAUGAUAAGAACGACUUUAUUGCUAGGAAGCAUGGUAAAGAAAGAGAACCAUGGGUUCAGAAACCCAUGCCCUUUCCUCCCAAACCAUCCAAGAAAAAGGAUGAUGAGGAUUUUGAGCACUUUGUUGAAAUGAUUAGACUUGUCUUUCUGCAAAUGCGUUUGAUAGAUAUGCUCAAAAUGUCUCCUUAUACUAAGUACAUGAAAGAUAUUGUGACUAAUAAAAGGAAGAUACCUGAGAUUGAGAUUUCCACCAUGCUUGCUAAUUACACCUUCAAGGGUGGAACUCCUAAGAAACUAGGUGAUCCCGGAGUGCCACUAUACCUUGCUCCAUUAAAGGAAAUUAUGUUAGAACUGCUUUAUGCGAUCUUGGAGCUAGUGUUAGUGUUAUGCCUCUCUCUCUUUAUCGUAGACUUGAAUUGGAUAAGUUGACACCCACUAAAAUGUCUUUGCAAAUGGCCGACAAAUCAACUGCUUUUCCUAUCGUCAUUUGCGAGGAUGUGCCUGUUGUGGUUGCUAACGUUACUAUCUUAACGUACUUUGUUAUUCUGGAUAUUCCCGAGGAUGAUGCCAUGGCGGUCAUCCUUGGAAGACCCUUUUUAAACACUACAGGGGCUGUUAUUGAUUGCAACAAAGGCAAUAUCACUUUCCAUGUUAAUGUUAAUGAGCACACGGUGCACUUUCCGAAGAAACAAUAUCGAGUACAUUGCAUCAAUGCUAUUAAAAAACUUCAUCAAUUCUUAUUGGAAGCUUUGAAUGCCCUAUGCCUAUUGUCAAGAUGAAGUAUGAUUUACUUGUUGGGGAUAUGCACAUUCCCGUUGAGGUAACCUAGUGAUUAUUCAAAAAUUCUCCGGUUUUAUGUGAUUCGAAAAAAGUUUGUCAAGGAGACUUGAUCAACCUCAUUGACGGAUUUCUUUUGAUGACCAUGAGAUGGAUGAAUCUAGGAGUCACAACCUUCUGUUCCGAACUUUUAUUUUCUGUUGUUAAGAAGAAAAAUGAUAAAUUUAGCUUUAUUUUCCUGUUUUCUGCUUUUUGCGUCCCUUAGAAAAGUGUCCCGAAAAUAAAAGUUCUUCAAAUGCACUGAAAUUGAAGUAUGAUUUUUUCUGGAAUUUCUGAAAAAUUCUGAGAUAGAGAGCUAGUCAGGGGGAUGCACCAGUGGGCCACAAGCCCAGGAGGUGCGGGCACCCCCCUGGCCGCGCCUGGAAGGCUCGUGGGGCCCACGUGCCCCCUCCACUUAUUCCAUCUCCCAUCUCCUUCUUCUACCUCCAGAAAAAAUCAUUCCACAACUCAAACCCGUGUUCUUGCUGCAUUUUUUGAUCUCCUUGUGCAAAGCCCCAUUCACCAAACUGUUUGGGGGGAAUUGUUCCUUGGUAUGUGACUACUUCAUUGGUCCAAUUAGUUUUUGCUCUAGUGCUUUAUUCGUUGCAUAUUUUUGCUGCCUUGGUGACCCUGUUCUUGAGCUUUGCUUGUUAAUUUUAGUUGGUCCCAAGUAGUUUUGAUGCAUGAUAUGGCCUCUAGGCACUUGUAGGAGUAGUUGCUAUGAGUUUUGUUGAGCCUUGUUCACUUUUCUUUUGUGUCACUAAAAAUUUCAGAAAAGGAAGAUGUUCAAGAGAAAGUAUCAUGGUGGUUCCUCAAGCAAAAGGGGUCCCCGUCUCUCGAUUCGGGAGCCCGAUCCUUAUCAGCCGAGGAACGCACAGGUACAACCAUGUGACUGGCCUUCCGAUGAAUUCAUGAUUGAUGCAGGUUUCAAGGACGAGUUUGAUACAUUUGUUCACAACAUCGGGCUCGAAGAAUUCAUCUCCAACAAAUGCGAACGGUAGAUGCAUUAACGACAAGAUUAAGCAUUGUCACCUCUACGCACCUGACCUUAGUAUUCUUAAGAGCGCAGUAACGGGUGAUAGAAGUUUCAACAUGGGAGCUAUAAUCGCGAGGAGGCUAAAUAAUAAUUCUAAUGAAGGGAUUUCUUUGGUGGGAUCUAUGCCACCCGCAUAGCAAAUUUUCUUGGAGUACCCAUCCACGAAGGAGAUCCCCCGCUCCAUACAACUUUCCUUGAUCGCACCGCUAUGACACGCUAUCAGUUCCUUGAGAGGGAAAAUGAAUUUCUCCUAUACCGCUUAAUUUUUAACCGACAUCGUGUUUUCCAUAUUACCCUUCCUGCUCCUGCCUUCUUUGACUUUCAGGUAAAACGGAGAUAUUACAUAACCAUAGGAGAGGCAGAGGAGUAUGAGAGGGAGGCAAAGGCUGCUCGCCUCCGUGAGGCAGCUAGUCAGGCGGUAGCUGCUGCGUUCCCGUACAACCCCCAUUAUGAUUUUGGAUAUAGCCAGGACCAGCCGUGGGAGUAGACCAACUUAGGCCAAAAGCCUAAGCUUGGGGGAGUAUGUGUUUCACACCCACUUUAUAUUUAUGCUCACGAUUUCACCUUGCUAGUCGGUGUUCACACCUUGCCACUGUAUCAUCCAUGCUAGUUUAUUUAUUUUUCUCGCUUUCUUAUCGUGUGUUUGUUUAGAUUGAGAAAAACAAAAUAAAAUUAGUUGUAAGUUUACUUUCCAUCUUGCUUAGUGGUGUUUAAAAAGAAAACCCAAAAAUAUUUCCCGUUCUUCUUUUGCUUGUUGGGGGCUUUCCCGUGUAAAUAGUUUUCUUUUUCUUUGGGUCAAGGUAGAAGACCAUGAUUAAAAUGUUUAGUGGCUCUCACAUGCAUGUAUAUUUAUCCUCAAAGAGCGAUAUUACUUUGUCUUCUCCUCUGUGUUUGCUUGCAAAUUCCAGCUUAGUCCAAUGCACGAACACUCUCAUUAUUAUUCGCAUCAUUCGGUCGUGCAAGUGAAAGGCAAUAAUGACGAUAUAUGAUGAAGUGACUGAGCCUGGAAAAGCCGGUAUGAGCUCGAUCUAUUUUGUAUUUGUAAAUAUGACUAGCUCAUCGUUCCUAAUCCAGCAUUGUUAUGAGAGAAACAUGUUUGCAAUGACAACUUAGUGAUCAUAGUUUUUGAUGCCAUGCUUAAUUAGCUAGGAGCUUAUAAUGGUUUGUCAUGGAUGCCAACAUGAAUUUCAAGAUGAUUAUGAUGUAGUAUGAUAGGGUGGUAUCCUCCUUUGAAUGAUUCAAGUGGCUUGACUUGGCGCAUGUUUACACAUGUAGUUGAAACAGAAUCAACAUAGACUCUAUGAUAUUCAUGUUUAUGGUGAUUGAUGUCCUACUCAUGCUUGCACUCAAUGUUGGUUAAUUUCAAUGCAUAUUGAUGAUUGUUGUCGCUCUCUAGUUGGUUGCUUCCCAGUCUUUUGCUAGCCUUCACUUGUACUAAGCGGGAAUACUGCUUGUGCAUCCACUUCCAUAAACCCAAAGUUGUUCCAUAUGAGUCCACCAUACCUACCUAUAUGCGGUACCUACCUGCCGUUCCAAGUAAAUUUUCAUGUGCCACUCUCUAAACCUUCAAGUAAUAAUCUGUUAUGCAUGCCCGAACCGCUCAUGUGGUGACAAGGGGCGGUCAGUAUCUUCCAUGCUAGGCGUGUUAUCCUCGAUACAUGUUUAUUCACUAUCACUCACGAGAAAUGGGUCGGUAAACGGAAUGCCCAGUUCCAUGCUCAAAUCAAAAAUGUAAUUGCAAACAAAACUCCCCCUGGAUUGUUGUUGGUAUGGACGGCACCCGAGGAUUCGGCUAGUCGUGGAGUGUGAUUGAUCGGUGGUGGGGGAGUCAAAACUUUACCUUUCUGUUUGGGAACCGCCUAUAAUAUGUGUAGCAUGGAAGAUGGUGAAAACUCUUGGUCAUCGCGUUGACAAUGAAAGCAUGCCACCCAAAAUUAUUUAUCUCUAUCUUCAAAGCUUGAGCUCUGGCACCUCUGCAAAUCAAUGCUUCCCUCUGCGAAGGGCCUAUCUAUUUAUGUUUUUGUUGAGUCAUCCUCUCCUUAUAAACACACCAAUUAGAGAGCACCUUCGUCAUUUUUAUGCUUUUCUAUUAAUUGUUAUUGAGUAUGACUGUGACUGGAUCUUAUUUGCCAUGAAUUACAAUGUUCAGUCACCCCUUGGUCUUUGAAGGUGCUCUGCAUUUAUGGUUUGCAGUCUCAGAAAGAGCUAGCGAGAUACCAUCUGUUCAUAUUGCUUCAUGAUUGUUUUGAUUGAAGUGUUGACGUUUGAAACUCAUUAUUAUUGCUCGCUAGUUGAUUAUGCCAUUGAAAUGAGUACAUCAUCAAACAUAAAUGUCAUUGCUUAUGUGGUUCGCUUAUGAUCUUGCUGAAAAUCCGAAUAUGAGUUAGACAUGAUUACAGCAACAAGAUCAAACAGAGUUCGUAAAAGUUUUUCUUUUUUAUCUUUCAAUUUGUCAACUGAAUUGCUUGAGGACAAGCAAGGCUUUAAGCUUGGGGGAGUUGAUACGUCUCCAUCAUAUCUACUUUUCCAAACUCUUUUGCCCUUGUUUUGGACUCUAAUUUGCAUGAUUUGAAUGGAACUAACUGAUGACCCACAAGUGUAGGGGAUCUAUCAUAGUCCUUUCGAUAAGUAAGAGUGUCGAACCCAACGAGGAGCAUAAGGAACUGACAAGUGGUUUUCACCAAGGUAUUCUCUGCAAGCACUGAAAUUAUCGGUAACAGAUAGUUGUGUGAUAAGAUGAUUCGUAGAAAGUAGCAAGUAACAAUAGUAACAAAGGCACAGCAAAGUGGCCCAAUCCCUUUUGUAGCAAGGGACAAGCCUGAACAAACUCUUAUAUGAGGUAAAGCGCUCCUGAGGACACAUGGGAAUUUCUGUCAAGCUAGUUUUCAUCAUGUUCAUAUGAUUCGCGUUCGCUACUUUGAUAAUUUGAUAUGUGGGUGGACCGGUGGUUGGGUGCUGCCCUUACUUGGAAAACGUACCACUUAUGAUUAACCCCUAUUGAAAGCAUCCGCAACUAUGAAAGAAGAAUUAAGACUAAAUUUAACCAUAGCAUUAAACUAGUGGAUCCAAAUCAGCCCCUUACGAAGCAACACAUAAACUAGGGUUUAAGCUUCUGUCACUCUAGCAACCCAUCAUCUACUUAUUACUUCCCAGUGCCUUCCUUUAGGCCCAAAUAAUGGUGAAGUGUCAUGUAGUCGACAUUCACAUAACACCACUAGAGGAAAAACAACAUACAACGCAUCAAAAUAUCAAACGAAUACCAAAUUCACAUGACUACUUAUAGCAAGACUUAUCCCAUGUCCUCAGGGGCAAAAGUGACUACUCACAAAGCAUAAUUAUGUUCAUGACCAGAGAGGUAUUGAAUAGCAUUAGAGAUCUGAACAUAUGAUCUUCCAUCGAGUAAUCGAACUAGCAUCAACUACAAAGAGUAAUUAACACUACUAGCAACCUUACAAGUACCAAUCGGAGUCGCGAGACGGAGAUUGGUUACAAGAGAUGAACUAGGGUUUGGAGAUGAGAUGGUGCUGAUGAAGAUGUUGAUCGUGAUGAGUCCCCUCCGAUGAGAGGACUGUUGGUGAUGACGAUGGCGACGAUUUCCCCCUCCGGAAGGGAAGUUUUCCCGGCAGGACGGCCCUGCCGGAGCUCUAGAUUGGUUGUGCUCAAGUUCCGCCUCGUGGCGGCGGCGAUUCCUCCCGAAAGCCUCCUCUUGAUUUUUUAUCGAUUUAAACCCUCCUUAUAGCAAAACAUGGGAGCCAGAGGGGCAACAGGGGGCCCACAAACCACCCAGGCAUGGCCAAGGGGGUAGGCCGCGCCUGGGUGGCUUGUGGCCUCGUGGUGGCUCCCCUCCAGUACUUCUUCCGCCCAGUAUUUUUUUAUAAAAUCCAAAAUAAUUCCUCGUUGAUUUUCACGGCUUUUAGAGUUGCGCAGAAUAGGUAUCUCAAACUUGCUCCUUUUUCAGACCAGAAUUCCAGCUGCCGGCAUUGUCCCUCUUCAUGUAAACCUUAUAAAAUAAGAGAGAAAAGGCAUAAGUAUUGUAGCGUAAAGUGUAAUAACAUCCCAUAAAGCGAUAAAUAUCAACAUAAAAGAAUGAUGCAAAAUGGACGUAUCAACUCCCCCAAGCUUAGACCUCGCUUGUCCUCAAGCGGAAGCCGAGAUCAAUAAAUAUGCCCACAUGUUUAGAGAUAUUGGUGUCGGUAAAACAAAAUACGGACAUGCAUGCAUCAUGAUCAUAAUUAGAACAACAAUAGCGUCAUAUAAACUCUUAUGCUAAAGUGACAAUUCCUUCACAAAGUAAAGUAUGGAUCAAGAAUCUUAUUGAGAAUUAACAACCAAUAGCCUUUAGUCAUUGAAACAAUAGCAAUUUAUCAUAACAUCGGAAAGAGUCAAAUAAGAGCCUGUAAAGCAAAUCCACAUACUCAAUCAUCUUUUAGUCUUCUACAAUUGCUUAAACUCACGCGGUACUCAUGAGAUCAAAGUUUCAGUGGAACACAGAGAAAGAUAGGGACUUAUAGUUUCACCUCCCAACUAUUUACCUCAAGGGUAAAGUCAACAAUAAUAAUUCAUGAAUACUUACUUCCAAGUUGACAUAUGAAUAUAGAUCUUUCCCUAGCAUAUGACGUUAGCCAAGAUAAAGGCGAAAUAAGGAAUUGGUGUCGAUCACCAUGACUCUUUUAAGGACAAAAAGUAAAGGUACAAGAUAGGCCCUUCGCAGAGGGAAGCAGAGGUUGUCAUGCGCUUUUGAGGUUUGGAUGUGUGACCUCUUAGUGUGGAGGAACGUCACUUUAUAUUGCCUCGUGUGAUAAAGAACUUUACUAUGCAGUCUGUCGCUUUUAUGUCUUCCUCAUCACAGGUUCGUACAAAGCUUAUUUUCCACACAGUAAUAGAUCAUACAUAUUUAGGGAGCAAUUUUUAUUGCUUGCACCGAUGACAACUUACUUGAGGGAUCUUAUUCAAUCCAUAGGUAGGUAUGGUGGACUCUCAUGGCAAAACUGGGUUGAAGGUUUAUGGAUGCACAAGUAGUAUCUCUACUUAGUGCGGACGUUUUGGCUGAUAUGAGGUGGAAGCAAGCAUCACAUGCUAAGGGAUCUCUAGUCAUAUAACAUUGUUCGGAACCAAGCAAUCAUAAUUCAUUAUGUUGUCUUCCUUGUCCAACAUCUACUUCUAAGCAUGUAAUAGUUUAAUGAGUGUUCACAAUCAUAGAUGGUGCCCAAGAUGAUAUAUUUAUAUGUGGACCUCUCCUUCUUUAUUACUUCCUAUUAAUUGCAACAAUGACCAAGGUCUACGUUUGUCCACCCACAACAAGUUUCAAUCAACAUUCUUUUUAUAUGUGAAGCCAUCGCUUCCCAUAAGAUCAUUACAUGAUCUUUCAUGCUUUUGUCCUUUUAUUAUUCUUUUCUUUAGAUCAUGGCAUGAAGCAAGGCCCUUAACUAAAACACUCUUUAUUAUAUGACUCACGAACUCGAAUACAUUGGGGGUAACACAAAGCAAAAAUCAAACCUAGAACAUACUAAGAACUUUAUUCUACUAGAGAAAAAUAAAACCAAAAAGGAUCGAACUAACAAAAAGGUAAACGCAAAAGAUGUGAUGGUGAUAUGAUACCGGGGCAACUCCCCCAAGCUUGGCACAAGCCAAGAGGAGUGCCCAUACCCGUGCUUAGUUGUCUUCCUUCGAAGGUGAUUGUGGUGGAGUUGUUCUGUCUUUUGAUUCCAAGAGGGCCAUCAAUAUUUGAUUUAUACCUUGGAGUUCUGUGAUAUGUUUCUCCAGCAAAACAACAUCACGGGUGAGAUAAGUAUUAUGGAUACGAGUUAUUUCACAUAACCUCAAGAGUUCGAUCAAGGAUGGAGGUAAAAGGUGGAGAUAGGGUUGAAGAAAAUCCUGUUCCUCAGCUUCUUCCUUGUUGAGCACAGAUUGCCCUUCGUCCAACGCCGGAUUCUCCUCCUUAGUUUUGCCCUUAGUUUCUUCAAGCAACCUUUCCUUGGCCUCCAUGACCUCCAUUCUUUUCAGAUCAACACUUACUUCUUCAUAGACUUGAGGGAGAUCGUUCUCCCCGACAGAUUCCUGAGACGACAUCCUUGCCCUAAAUGUGCGGCAAAAACAGGCUCGAAACGAAAACAAAGAAUAUUUGCAAGAUACGAGGGUCAGACCUUCUGGGAGAACGAUCUUGCAAAUACCCUUUGUUUUCGUUUCGAUCUGGCAACGAUCUGGCAAAAACAUCUAGAAAGAAUUUUUCCCGACCAAAAGUAGUACUUCGCAAGAAAACGUAGUCCGGGAGGCACACGAGGUGCCCACAAGCCAUCUAGGCGCGGCCAGGGGAUAGGUUGCGCCUCGCAGGCUUGUCGCCUCCUCGUGCGCUUUCUAGACUACUUUAAUUUUUCUAUUUUUCUAAAAAUUCCAAAACGGAGAAAAAGUGCUACUGGAAAAGUUUUGGAGUCGGUUUACUUACCGAAUCAAAUACUUAUUCGUUUUUGGAGUUCCAACAGGCUGAUAAAUAUCCCUUAUGUACUCCUCCGGAGUUAUGGUAUUAAUAACAUUGCUUUCAACAUUUACGGGAGUACCUGAGAUAUAAUGCUUGAUUGUUUGCCCAUUUACCACUCCCGGAAAAUUACCUUCCGUGUUGUUGAUCUUGAUGGCACCGGAACGAUAUACUUCCUCGACAAUGUAAGGACCUUCCCAUUUAGAGAGAAGCUUGCCUGCAAAAAAAUCUUAAACGAGAAUUGUAUAGCAAGACAUAAUCACCUACAUUGAACUCACGUUUUUGUAUCCUUUUAUCAUGCCACCUCUUAACUUUUUCUUUAAACAACUUGGUAUUUUCAUAUGCCUCAGUCCUCCAUUCAUCAAGUGAGCUAAUAUCAAAUAACCUCUUCUCACCAGCAAGUUUGAAAUCAAAGUUGAGAUCUUUGAUUGCCCAAUAAGCCUCAUGCUCUAGCUCAAGAGGUAAAUGACAUGCUUUACCGUAAACCAUUUUGUACGGAGACAUGCCCAUGGGAUUCUUAUAAGCAGUUCUAUAAGCCCAUAGUGCAUCAUCAAGCUUCUUAGACCAAUUAUUUCUAGAUCUAUUAAUAGUCUUUUGCAGAAUUAGUUUAAUAUCUCUAUAAAUUAGCUCUACUUGACCACUGGACUGAGGAUGAUAGGGAGAUGCAAUUAUAUGGUUGACGUUCUACUUGGCAAGCGUUUUACGGAAAGCACCAUGAAUAAAAUGUGAACUACCAUUAGUCAUUAGAUAUCUAGGGACUCCAAAUCUAGGGAAAAUAACUUCUUUAAGCAUCCUAAUAGAGGUGAUCAACACUACUAGUUGGGAUAGCUUCUACCCACUUAGUAACAUAAUCAACAUCAACUAGGAUAUGAGUAUACCCGUUGGACUUUGGAAAAGGUCCAAUAUAAUCAAAACCCCAAACAUCAAAUGGUUCAAUGACAAGUGAAUAAUUCAUAGGCAUUUCCUGAGGUUUAGUGAUAUUACCUAUUCUUUGACAUUCAUCACAAGACAAUACAAACUUACGGGCAUCCUUGAAGAGAGUAGGCCAAUAGAAACCGGAUUGCAAUAUCUUGUGUGCAGUUCUAUCUCUCGCAUGGUGUCCUCCGUAAGCCUCUGAGUGACACUUCUGUAGGAUCUAUCCCUGUUCAUGCUCAGGUACACAACAUCUAAUAACACCAUCUACUCCAUCCUUAUAAAGGUGAGGAUUAUCCCAAAAGUAAUGUCUCAAAUCAAAGAAGAAUUUCUUCUUUUGUUGGUAUGUGAAACUAGGUGGUAUAUACUUGGCAACAAUAUAAUUUGCAUAAUUAGCAUACCAAGGUGUACUACAUGAAGCAUUGAUGACAUUCAAUUUCUCAUCAGGAAAGCUAUCAUCAAUAGGUUGUGGGUCAUCAAGAACAUUCUCCAACCUAGACAAGUUAUCUGCUACGGGGUUCUCAGCACCCUUCCUAUCAACAACAUGCAAAUCAAAUUCUUGUAGCAAGAGAACCCAUCUGAUAAGUCUAGGUUUAGCAUCUUUAUUUUCCAUGAGAUACUUAAUAGCAGCAUGAUCAGUGUGAAUGGUAACCUAGGAAUCAACAAUGUAAGAUCUGAACUUUUCACAUGCAAACACGAGUGCUAAAAAUUCCUUUUCAGUAGUAGCAUAGUUUCUUUGGGCAUUGUCUAGAGUUUUACUAGCAUAAUGAAUAAUAUUCAAUUUCUUAUCAACUCUUUGCCCUAGAACAACACCAACAACAUAAUCACUAGCAUCACACAUAAUUUCAAAAGGUAAGUUCCAAUCAGAUGGUUGAACAAUAGGUGCAGUUAUCAAGGCCUUCUUAAGUAUUUCAAAGGCUUCCUUAGAAUCAUCGUCAAAAACAAAAGGAAUAUCCUUUUGCAAGAGAUUGGUAAGAGGCCUAGAAAUCUAAGAAAAGUCCUUAAUGAACCUUCUACAGAAACCAAUAUGACCAAGGAAACUUCUUAUACCUUUAAUGUCUGUAGGGCAUUGCAUUUUCUCGAUCGCAUCAACCUUAGCCUUAUCGACUUCAAUACCUCUUUCAGAAAUUUUAUGUCCUAAGACGAUGCCUUCAUUAACCAUAAAGUGGCACUUCUCCCAAUUCAAGACAAGGUUGGUAUCUUUACAUCUCUGGAAAAAUCGAUCAAGGUUGUUGAGGCAAUCAUCAAAAGAAGACUCGUAAACUGAGAAGUCAUCCAUGAAAACCUCAAUAAUCUUUUCACAAAAGUCAGAGAAUAUAGCCAUCAUACAUCUUUGAAAGGUAGCAGGUGCAUUACAUAAGCCAAAAGGCAUACGUCUGUAAGCAAAGGUACCGGAAGGGCAGGUAAAAGUGAUUUUCUCCUGAUCAGAUUGUGCAACAGGUAUUUGAGAGAAACCAGAAUAACCAUCUAGAAAGCAGAAGUGUGUUUGUUUAGACAAUCUUUCUAGCAUUUGGUGAAUAAAAGAUAAAGGGUAAUGAUCUUUCCUAGUGGCUUUAUUCAAUUUCCUAAAAUCAAUCACCAUCCUAUAGCCAGUAAUAAUCCUCUGUGGGAUCAAUUCAUCUUUAUCAUUAGGGACAACGGCAAUACCUCCCUUCUUAGGGAUGCAAUGCACCGGACUUACCCAAUCACUAUGAGCAACAGGAUAGAUAAUAGCUGCUUCCAGGAGCUUUAGUAUUUCUUUCCUUACUACCUCUUUCAUCUUAGGAUUUAAUCUCUGUUGAUGAUCGACAACUGGUUUGGAAUCAGGAUCGGUUUUAGUUUUAUGCUGGCAUAGAGUGGGAAUAAUUCCCUUAAGAUCGUCAAGAGUAUAUUCAAUAGCAGCACGGUGCUUCCUUAGAGUUUUCAACAACUUCUUUUCUUCAUGCUCUGAAAGUCUAGCACUAAUAAUAACAGGAUAUAUCUAUUUUUCAUCGAGAUAAGCAUCCUUAAGAGUAUCAGGUAAUUGUUUAAGCUCAAACAAAGGAUCACCCUUUGGUGGGGGUGGAUCUCCAAGCAGUUCAACAUGCAAAUUAUUCUUAAGGAUAGGAUGUUGUUCAAAGAUAACUCUAUCUAUCUCUUUCCUUUCAUCCAUAUGCAUAUCAUUUUCAUGCUCAAGCAAGUAUUGUUCUACAGGAUCAGUAGGAGGCACAAAAAUAGAAGCUAGAUCAAUAAUUUCAUCCUUACUAGACAGCUCUUUUUCACGAGGUUGUCUACCAAACUUGGAGAAAUUGAACUCAUGUGACACACCUUCAAAGCCACCAGUGGCAAUUUGCUUCUCACAGUCAAUAUGAGCAUUGACAGUAUUGAGGAAAGGUCUACCAAAUAUGAUGGGACAAAAGCUAUCUUGUGUGGUAGCAAGAACGAGAAAAUCAGCAUGAUAUUCAGUUUUACCACACAAGACUUCAACAUCUCUAACAAUUCCCAAAGGGCAGAUAGUAUCUCUAUUGGCAAGCUGAAUAGUGACAUCAAUAGGUUCCAUCUCGACAGGUGCAAUAUCGUCUUUAAUUUCAUCAUAUAAAGAUUGAGGUAUUGCACUAACACUAGCACCCACGUCACAUAAACCAUGAUAACAAUGAUCUCCUAUCUUAACAGAAACAAAGGUGUGCCAACAACAGGCCUAUGUUUGUCUCUAGCAUGAGGUUUAGCAAUUCUAGCAGCAUCUUCACAGAAGUGAAUAUCAUGGCCAUCAACAUUGUCGGACAGGAGAUCUUUGAUAAUAGCAAUGCUAGGUUCAACUCUAAUUUUCUCAUGGGGUGUAGGUGUUCUAAUGUAGCCCCUACGUAUCACAGUUGAAGCUUUAGAAUGAUCCUUUAUUCUAACAGGGAAAGGUGGUUUCUCAAUGUAAGCACUAGGAACAAUAGGAUCAUUAUAAGCAAUGACUUUCUCUUCAACUGGAUUGGGUUUAACCACAUUGACUUCUAAGGGAGGAUGAUAUUUAAACCACUUCUCUUUAGGGAGAUUAAUAUGAGCAGCAAAUGAUUCACAUAAUGAAGCUACUAUCUCAGAGUCAAGUCCAUGUUUAGCGCUAAAAUCACAAAAAGUAUUUGUUUCAACGAAGGAUUUAACGCAAUCGAACAUAAUAUUCAUAACUGACUCCUUACCUUCAUCAAACUCCCAAUCUUCAGAGUUGCAUUUAAUUCUUUCCAAUAAAUUCCAUUUGAAGUCAAUAUCUCUCUUCAUAAAAGAACCGGUACAAGAAGUGUCAAGCAUGGUGCGAUUAUCAUGAGAAAGCUGAGCAUAAUAGUUCUGAAUAAUAAUUUCUCUCAAGAGCUCAUGGUUGGGGCAUGAAUAUAACAUUGACAUAAGCCUCCCCCAAGCUUGAGCAAUACUUUCUCUUUCACGAGGCCAAAAAAUAUAGAAAUAAUUCCGAUCACGAUUGUACCAAAUGCAUAGGAUAAACUUUUGAUGAAAUUCCAAUUUCAAUCGGUUGUAGUUCCAUGAUCCAGUAUCAUCACAUAGCCUAUACCAUGUCAAUGCUUUAUCCCCCAAAGAUAAGGGAAAGACCUUCUUAUUGACCUCAUCCUCGGGCAAACCUCAAGCUUAAAUAAAAAACAUACUUCAUCUACAUAGAUUAGAUGCAAGUCGGGAUGUGAUGUUCCAUCUCGUGUAAAAGGAUUAGCCAACAGUUUCUCUAGCAUACCCGAAGGAAUUCCAUAGAAAAUAUUUUCAAUAGGUGCAGAAGGUUGAGGAGCAACUCCUUGUGCUUCCAUUCGAGGUGAAGAUACCCCGAACAAGCUCCUCAAAGGAUUAGUUUCCAUAGUGACAAGUGACAAUAAAUUUCAGCACACUAUAUAAAUGUUUCCUUACCAAAUUCCACUUACCAAAGGCGCUUCACUCCUCGGCAACGGUGCCAGAAAAGAGUCUUGAUGACCCACAAGUGUAGGGGAUAUAUCAUAGUCCUUUUGAUAAGUAAGAGUGUCGAACCCAACGAGGAGCAGACGGAACUGACAAGUGGUUUUCAGCAAGGUAUUCUCUGCAAGCACUGAAAUUAUUGGUAACACAUAGUUGUGUGAUAAGAUGAUUCGUAGCAAGUAGCAAGUAACAAUAGUGAUAAAGGUGCAGAAAAGUGGCCCAAUCCCUUUUCCAGCAAGGGACAAGCCUGAACAAACUCUUAUAUGAGGGAAAGCGCUCCCGAGGACACAUGGGAAUUUCUGUCAAGCUAGUUUUCAUCAUGUUCAUAUGAUUCGCAUUCGCUACUUUGAUAUGUGGGUGGACCAAUGCUUGGGUUCUGCCCUUACUUGGACAAACGUCCCACUUAUGGUUAACCCCUUUCGCAAGCAUCCGCAACUACGAAAGAAGAAUUAAGACUAAAACUAACCAUAGCAUUAAACUAGUGGAUCCUAAUCAGCCCCUUACGAAACAACGCAUAAACUAGGGUUUAAGCUUCUGUCACUCUAGCAACCCAUCAUCUACUUAUUACUUCCCAAUGCCUUCCUCUAGGCCCAAAUAAUGGUGAAGUGUCAUGUAGUCGACGUUCACAUAACACCACUAGAGGAAAAACAACAUACAACGCAUCAAAAUAUCGAACGAAUACCAAAUUCACAUGACUACUUAUAGCAAGACUUAUCCCAUGUCCUCAGGAACAAAAGUGACUACUCACAAAGCAUAAUUAUGUUCAUGACCAGAGAGGUAUUGAAUAGCAUUAGAGAUCUGAACAUAUGAUCUUCCACCGAGUAAUCCAACUAGCAUCAACUACAAAGAGUAAUUAACACUACUAGCAACCUUACAAGUACCAAUCGGAAUCGCGAGACGGAGAUUGGUUACAAGAGAUGAACUAGGGUUUGGAGAUGAGAUGGUGCUGAUGAAUAUGUUGAUGGUGAUGAGUCCCCUCCGAUGAGAGGAGUGUUGGUGAUGACGAUGGCGACGAUUUCCCCCUCCGGGAGGGAAGUUUCCCCAGCAGGACGGCCCUGCCGGAGCUCUAGACUGGUUCUGUUCAAGUUCCGCCUGUGGCGGCGGCGAUUCCUCCCGAAAGCCUACUCUUGAUUUUUUAUGGAACGAAACCCUCCUUAUAGGAAAGAUGGGAGCCAAAGGGGCAACAGGGGCCCCAUAAGCCACCGAGGCGCGACCAGGGGGUAGGUCGCGCCUGGUAGGCUUGUGGCCUCGUGCUGGCUCCCCUCCGGUACUUCUUCUGCCCAGUAUUUUUUAUAAAAUCCAAAAUAAUCCCUUAUUGAUUUUCACGGCUUUUGGAGUUGCGCAGAAUAGGUAUCUCAAACUUGGUCCUUUUUCAGACCAGAAUUCCAGCUGCCGGCAUUCUCCCUCUUCAUGUAAACCUUAUAAAAUAAGAGAGAAAAGGCAUAAGUAUUGUACCGUAAAGUGUAAUAACAGCCCAUAAGGCGAUAAAUAUCAACAUAAAAGCAUGAUGCAAAAUGGACGUAUCACUAACCCCGACUGAUGCUCUUUUCAGCAGAAUUGCCAUGGUGUUGUUUUUGCGCAGAAAUAAAUGUUCUCGGAAUGACCUGGAAAUUUACGAGGAUUUUUGGUGGAAUAUAUAAAAAAUAUUGGCGCAAGAAUUACCUGGAGGGACGGAGCCAGGAGCCCACAAGCCCAGGAGGCGCGGGUCCCCCUGGCCGCGCCUGGCAGGCUUGUGAGGCCCUCGUGGCUCCGCCGCCUCCAACUUCAGCUCUAUAUAGUCUCUCUCGCCCAGAAAAAAUUAGGAGAGAAGAGUUCAUCGCGUUUCACGACACGGAGCCACCGCCACCGCCUGUUCUUCCUCUGGAGGGCAGAUCUGGAGUCCGUUCUGGGCUCCGGAGAGGGGAGAUCGACACUGUCAUCAUCAUCAACCAUCCUUCAUCGCCAAUUCCAUGAUGCUCUUCACCGUUCGUGAGUAAUCUCAUCGUAGGCUUGCUGGACGGUGAUGGGUUGGAUGAUAUCUAUCAUGUAAUCGAGUUAGUUUUGAUGGGGUUUGAACCCUAGUUUCCACUAUGUUCUGAGAUUGAUGUUGCUACUUCUUUGUUAUGCUUAAUGCUUGUCACUAGGGCCCGAGUGCCAUGAUUUCAUAUCUGAACCUAUUAUGUUUUCAUCAAUAUAUGUGUGUUCUUGAUCCUAUCUUGCAAUUUGUAGUCACCUACUAUGUGUUAUGACCCGGCAACCCCGGAGUGACAAUAGCCGGUACCACUCCCGGAGAUGACCAUAGUAUGAGGAGUUCAUGUAUUCACUACGUGCGAAUGCUUUGUUCGGGUUCUCUAUUAAAAGGAAACCCUAAUAUCCCGUAGUCUCCAUUAGGACCCCGCUGCCAUGGGAGGGAUGGACAAUAGAUGUCAUGCAAGUUCUUUUGCAUAAGCACGUAUGACUAUAUACGAAAUACAUGCCUACAUUACAUUGACGAACUGGAGCUAGUUACAUAUCACCCUAUGUUAUAACUGUUACAUGAUGAAUGUCAUUCGACAUAAUUAUCCAUCACCGAUCCAAUGCCUACGAGUUUUUCCUACCGGUCCUUGCUAAGUUACUAUACCGCUACUGUUGUCACUGCUGCUACUGUUACCGCUACUGCUGUCACUACGACUACUGUUACCGCUGUUACCGUUACUAUCACGCUACUUUGCUACUAAAACUUUGCUGCAAAUACUAAGUCUUUCAGGUGUGGUUGAAUUGACAACUCAACUGCUAAUACUCGAGAAUAUUCUUUUGCUUCCCCUUGUGUCGAAUCAACAAAUUUGGUAUGAAUACUCUACCCUCGAAAACUGUUGCGAUCCCCUAUACUUGUGGGUUAUCACUGGCAUGCUGUGACAACUUGGGUAGUGCGGACCAUUACAGGGACGAGCUGCUGUCGUCGGCAAGCCACCAGAGCUGCCAGGGCCGAAGCACUACGUGACACAGGGGCGACGACCAUUGGUCAGGUCUUGGCGCGGUGUUGCGCGGCCCUAGAAGGUAGCCAAGGGGCACGGGUAGAAGGACGUGACUGCUCAGGCGAGCGCAUGCAAAACGUGCGCUCUAGCCACGCACAGAGCACGCACAACACCCGUUCGACAGAUUUCCUGACAUAUCCAACCGUCUACAAUGCUGCUCAAACUCAAGAGGGUUAGUUUAGGUGGCAAGAAAAGGUUUCAAGACAUCCUAGUUUGACUAUACAAGCAAGUCCACCAUGCAAAGCUAAAACUAUGCCAAAUCUGCCUAUGCACAGAAGGUGUUCUACAGGAGGUUAAAGGCAUCAAAAUGAUUUUUUUAGUGGACAAAAACUCCAGAUCAGGGUCUCUUUAGGUGCUGGUAAAGAUGGUAGGGUUAGUUUGAGAAAAGAAGAAAUUUGUUGGUACAAAUUUUGGAGAAAAUCUUUUGUGGUCAGAAUCUUAGGGGCAUUAAAGCAUGGGCUAAAUUUAUCCCAAAGGCUCACAUCUCUUGGACUUAAGGGUGUGGUAGGCUCUACUACAAGUGGUAAAAAUCUCAACUCGAUUGGGGCAAUUUAAAAUAGGGAUGUAGUUCAAAAGAGCAAACUGGACGAGAAUGCAAAAGAGGUCAUGCUGCUCAAAGUUUUCAAAGGGCAGCUAUGGGUUUGUGCAUGAAGUGAGUCUCAUGCAUCCCUUGACAUCUCCAAAUUUUUGUGGAGUUUUUAAAAUAAUUUAUAAAAGGGUUGCAGUGCAAAUGAGUUUCUUAAAGAAGGAAAAAGUCUUUUAAAAGAGUUUAAAUUGGCAAGCUUUAUUAGAAAAAAUAUUCCCAUUAAAUUAAAUAAAAGAAAUAAAAUUAUCACAAGAAAUGACUUAAGCACACAAUGAUCUUCAAACUGCCACUUAAAAAUAAAAGGAUUUUGGAAAGGGGCUCUAAAAUAAGCAAUGGAAUAAUUUAUAUUUGAAAAUUUCAUUCUAGGCAAUAUUUUAAUUUAUAAAAAUAUGAUUAAAUUUUUGGGGCGUAACAAAAGGAUUUAGGGUACCUAGGGCUACAAUGGAUAUGAAAUUGGAGAUCAAAUGCCAAAUGAAUCUAUUAGUUCCUUUGUAAAUUUCUCGGGGUCAAGUGAUUACAGAAAAUGGUUUUGAUUAAAAACAGGAAAGGUAGUUGAACUACCUCAUAACUUUAAGAAUCUUCUUUUAAAUGAUGCCCUAAUGUUAGAGGGAAGUCAGGGUCAAGAAUUUAGUGAGAGAGGAAGAGAUAAAAUUUUUAGGGCAAAACUAAGUUUGCGAAAUAUCUCACACAAACCAUUAAAGAAUUUUCGAAAGAAGGGAGAGGGAUUUUCCAGUGGAAAAUCUUGGUAAAGAGGGGAAAUAAAGUAAGACUCUUUCCGAACCAGAAGUGUUGACAAGGAAAACCCAAGAAAAUUUGUCUCAAGGUAAAAAUUUCAAGAAGAUUCCAAAAGAUGUUUUUGUCAAAAUUUUGGAAAUUCACUUUAAAAAUAAAUGAAAUAAGAAAAUUCCAAAUUGAAAAUUUGAGGAUUUUACAUCAGCUCUCCAUUGCACGACGACCUACAACAGUAACACAUGUGCGCCCCUCUUCUGCUACCAGCACUAGAGUCGUGCCACUCUUCCAUGCUUCCUACAAGCACCGGAGAUGUGCCAAUUACGACUGGCAAUUACAAUGCUGGUAAACUUGUUCUCAAAGAUAACUUUGCCAUAUUCCAUUUCUAAUAUUUUAGGGCUGAUGCAUAGUACUUUCUAUUUUCUAUGAAUGAAGGGGAGUGGUGGGCAACUUAUGGACUACAAACUCCCACAUUGAUGCACAUGGCUUUGAGGAUACUGAACUUAACCACAAGUUCAUCUAGUGCGAAAGAAAUUGGAGAGUUUUUUCACAAGUAAGACUCAACUUGCAAAUAUUCAAUUGUGAUCCUUAUUUCAUUCAUGACAAGAUGUGAAUCACUAACCUUCACUAUGCACUUUGUAGGUAGAUGCAAAGAGCAGAAAUAAAUUAGAUGUGUGUCAUAGGGACUAUCUAGUUUACAUUUAUUUCAAUGUAAGAUUUCUAGACAAGAUAAAGAAAUAAUACUCAUCUUGUGAUGUUCUACUUGGUGAAUAUGCAUCCACAACCCAAGAUUGGAUAUGUGAAUAUGCUUACGAUUAUGAAGAGAUGGGAGCUAUCGGAGUUGACAAUACAAAAGAGCCACGUAGAAGUCUAAGGGUGAGAGAACUCCAUGAAGUGGAAGACUUUGUUUCCAGUGAUGAAGAUGACACUGUGCCUAUCAAUGCAGAUGAGAUAGAUUUUGAGUGUGAUUAUGAUAUGGCUCGGGUGAUAGAAGAAAUUGAUGAGGAAGACCUGAUGCAGCCUUGAGUCAUAGGCCUUUUAACAAUCUCAUUCCUAGUACCGUGUGUGUUUGCUAGCAGCCUAAUGCUUUAUUUUGGUUCUGAAUUGUUAGAGAAUUAUAGGGCUAAGAACUACCUUAUUUUGGUUGAUUGGUGUUUCACCGUUUGCUAGCAAAGUAGUAACUAGUAAGACUAAGAAGUUGAAAUAGAAGUGUAGAACUAAGAUUAUUUGUGUAUUCUGGACAUGUUAUGUUUUGUUGUGUUGUCUAUUCAGUAUCCACCAUGAUACUAUAUCAGUUUAUUUGUGGAUUAAGACUAAUAUAUUUAUAUAUGUACUGCAACCUAUCUACUGUCUCCGUUUAUUUGUGGACCCAUAUAGUUAUGUAGUUAUGUACUGUCGUUCUGCCUAUUGUUGCUUGUUAUGUAAAUGAGUAAAUCUAUGCACUCUUAUCCUAUUUGAAAAUGCCCAAACAAGAUAUGUGUUGUUUAAGUGUUGUCCAAUUUUUAUUUGUUAUGUCAUAUUGUAGUAUCCAUGUACUCCUAUCAUAUUUGAAUUUCAAACAUGCAAAAACAUGACAUGUGUUGUUGUUAUAUAUUGAUGUUGUGUUAAAAGCUUAGAGUGCAUACUUGUUGAUUGUUUACAAUUUUGCCUUAUUAAUUAGUGCUUGAAAAUGUCGGUCUUGAAAGAAAACUUAUCGAUUAAUAGCCGACCGAUAAAAUUGAUUAAUCGGUUGAUUUCCCGAUUAAUCUCUAAUCCCCAACCGAUCGAGACGGUAAUGACAAGCGAUAUCCCAAACAUUGUUGACGCCGAGGACAAACGCAUGUGCUAACCUACGGCAAGCAAGGCAUAGGCAUUGUCCUCCUUCACGAACGAGCCUGCCGACGACCACUUCUUCCCCUGCUGUCACGGCGUGCUCCGGGGCGAGGAGCUCCUCAUUCACCUCUCAACACUGCAUGGUGUGGAGGUAGAGCUCUUGGUCGAGGUGAUGGAAGUUGGCCCAAGGGGGCCAACCUCUACUGUAAGAGAGGCGGCCGCGCUCCCGCGCUUGCUUGGACCGCCAGGCCUCGAUCGCGAGAGGGGGAGUUACCAGCCUCCACGUUGUUAUGCGAGAUCUUGCGUCGCAGCUACCCGCCACGACCAUGGCCACCAUGCCCCGCGUGCAGAACCCGCCAUUGCUCGCGCAAAAAAGGAACUACGUGAGGUGGAAUUUCUUGCCAAAGAUAGGAAGGGAGAUAUCUUAGGAGGUGGAUCACGAGGAGCUUUCAUGGUAUGUCUACCCCUUUUAUCUUAAUGAUGAUUGGCUUGCACAACUACUUACUUUUAUGUGAAAAAAUCGCAUAAAGUUGUUAUUUUUUCAAUACUUUAAAUUUAGUGUUCUUAUUUGGGUUAAGAUAGUGGGUCAAUGUAGCUAGCGUUCUUAUUAAUAGUUAAUUUCCUUGAUCUUAGUGUAAGUAGCACAUGUUUACUCAUUAUUUUGGCCGUCUCACUGAUUUUCUCGCUUUGUCAUAUAUUGUCGGUGUACUAAAGAGCGGGUCCGUUAGUACCCUGACUUGUGCACAAACGGCAACAACCUUUGGCCCAACAAGCCUUGGCGGGAAGAUACUGCGUUGAGGAAAACAUCAAGCAACAAGGCGAAGCCAUCGACAAGCCUCCUUCCCAAUGAAGAAGACCUGACAACAAUCUCAGCCAUCGACAAGCCUCCUUCCCAGCAUGGCCCCACUACCACACCACCGCUCCACCUCAUAGGGCUGAUUGUCGUCGUCAAUGAGGUGUCGAGCAGGCAGGCUGUUAGGUAGGCCUUGUCGAGGCACGUGGUAGCUCAAGGGAAUUACAACAACUUUAAUGACACCCGUCCUAACGAAGUGGUGGGAUAAUAAGAGGUAGCCGGGCGAACGACUCAGAAGUAGAGGCAAUCCUUGUCGAGGAGCGACGCAAGCACGAAGCCUCACGAUGCAUUUAAUGCCUCCAUCCUAAUUCGCCAGGGUUAGGUAUUUCCCAAUGUAGUUUGUGUUGGUAGUUUGACCACUGUUUACUCUUGUAUAUGUACCAUUUUAGCCAUUGUGGUAAGCCCUUUUGCCUAUAAAAGAAGGUUCAUGGCUACCUUUACAAGGGUCAAAACCAUGUUCAAUUGAGUGUGUGGUAGUGAUGACCCACAGGUAUAGGGGAUCAAUCGUAGUCCUUUCGAGAAGUAAGAGUGUCGAACCCAACAAGGAGCAGAAGGAUUUGACAAGUGGUUUUCAGCAAGGUAAUAUCUGCAAGCACUGAAAUUAUCGGUAACAAGUGAUUGUAUGGUGAGGUGAUUCGUAGCAAGCAACAAGUAACAAAAGUAGAAACGGUGCAGCAAAGUGGCCCAAUCCCUUUUGUAGCAAGGGACAAGCCUGGACAAAGUCAUAUAGGAGGAAAAACGCUCCACAGGACACACGGGAAUUUCUUUCAUGCUAGUUUUCAUCAUGUUCAUAUGAUUCGCGUUCGUUACUUUGAUAGUUUGAUAUGUGGGUGGACUGGCGCUUGGGUACUGCCCUUACUUGUACAAGCAUCCCACUUAUGAUGAACCCCUCUCGCAAGCAUCCGCAACUACGAAAUAAGAAUUAAGACAAAGUCUAACCAUAGCAUUAAACUAGUGGAUCCAAAUCAGCCCCUUACGAAGCAACGCAUAAACUAGGGUUUAAGCUUCUGUCACUCUAGCAACCCAUCAUCUACUUACUACUUCCCAAUGCCUUCCUCUAGGCCCAAAUAAUGGUGAAGUGUCAUGUAGUCGACGUUCACAUAACACCACUAGAGGAAAAACAACAUACAACACAUCAAAACAUCGAACGAAUACCAGAUUCACAUGACUACUAUUAGCAUGACUUAUCCCAUGUCCUCAAGAACAAAAGUAACUAGUCACAAAGCAUAAUCAUAUUCAUGACCAGAGAGGUAAUGAGUAUCAUCAAGGAUCUGAACAUAAACUCUUCCACCAAAUAAUCCAACUAGCAUCAACUACAAGGAGUAAUUAACACUACUAGCAACCUUACAAGUACCAAUCGGAGUCGUGAGACGGAGAUUGGUUACAAGUGAUGAACUAGGGUUUGGAGAUGAGAUGGUGCUGAUGGAGAUGUUAAUGGUGACGAGUGCCCUCCGAUGAGAGGAGUGUUGGUGAUGACGAUGGCGACGAUUUCCCCCUCCGUGAGGGAAGUUUGCCCGGUAGGAUCGUCCUGCCGGAGCUCUAGAUUGGUUCUGCUCAAGUUCCGCCUCGUGGCGGCGGCGAAUCCUCCGAAAAGCUCCCUUCUAAUUUUUUUUCGACGAAACCCUUCAUAUAGCAAAAGAUGAGCGCCGUAGGGGCAAGAAGGGGCCCCCAAGGCCCCCAGGCCCUGCCAGGGGGGUAGGCCGGGCCUUGCAGGCUUGUGGCCUCCAGGUGGCGCCCCUCUGGUACUUCUUCCGCCCAGUAUUUUUUAUAUAUUCCCAAAAAAUUCCACGUUGAUUUUCACGGCUUUUGGAGUUGCGCAGAAUAGGCAUCUCGAACUUGCUCCUUUUUCACGCGAGAAUUCCAGCUGCCGGCAUUCUCCCUCUUCAUGUAAACCUUGCAAAAUAAGAGAGGAAAGGCAUAAGUAUUGUACCUUGGAGUGAAAUAACAGCCCAAAAAGCGAUAAAUAUCAACAUGAAAGCAUGAUGCAAAAUGGACGUAUCAACUCCCCCAAGCUUAGACCUCGUUUAUCCUCAAGCAAAAGCCUAGCUCAAUAAAUAUGUCCACAUGUUUAGGGAGAGAGGUGUCGACAAAACAAGAUACGAACAUGCAGGCAUCAUGAUCAUGAUUAGAACAGCAAUACCAACAUAUAAUCUCUCAUGCUAAAGUGACAAAUUCUUCACAAAGUAAAGCAUGGAUCAAGAACCUUACCGAGAAUCAACAACCGAUAGCCUUUAGUCAUUGAAGCAAUUGCAAUUUAUCACAACAUCAGAAAGAGUCAAAUAAGAGCUUGUAAGGAAAAUCCACAUACUCAAUCAUCUUUUCGUUCUCUACAAUUGCUACUACUCACGUGGUACUCAUGAGAUUAAAGUUUCAGCUGGACACAGAGAAAGAUAGGGGCUUAUAGUUUUGCCUCCCAACUGUUUACCUCAAGGGUAAUGUCAACAAUAAUAAUUCAUGAAUACUUACCUCCAAGUUGACAUAUGAAUAUAGAUCUUUCCCUAGCAUGUGACGUUAGCCAAGAUAAAGGCGAAACAAGGAAUUGGUGCAGAUCACCAUGACUCUUUCAAGGGCAAAAAGUAAAGGUACAAGAUAGGCCCUUCGCAGAGGGAAGCAGAGGUUGUCAUGCGCUUUUGAGGUUUGGAUGCGUGUCCUCUUAGUGCGGAGGAACGUCACUCUAUAUUGCCUCAUGUGAUAAAGAACUUUAUUAUGGAGUCUGUCGCUUUUAUGUCUUCCUCAUCACAAGUUCGUACAAAGCUUAUUUUCCACACACUAAUAGAUCAUACAUAUUAGGGAGGAAUUUUUUAUUGCUUGCACCGAUGACAACUAAGUUGAAGGAUCUUAUUCAAUCCAUAGGUUGGUAUGAUUAAUUCUCAUGGUGAAACUGGGUUGAAGGUAUGUGGAUGCACAAGUAUUAUCUCUACUUGGUGCGGGAGUUUUGUCUAAUAUGAGGUGGAAGCAAUCGUCACAUGCUAUGGGAUCUCUAAUCAUAUAACAUUGUUUGGAACCAAGCAAACACAAUUCAUUAUGUUUUCUUCUGAUACGUCUCAAACGUAUCUAUAAUUUUUGAUGGUUUCACGCUGUUAUCUUGUCUUCUUUGGUUGUUUUAUGUACCUUUUAUACCUUUUUUGGGACUAACUCAUUAAUUCAGUGCCAAGUGUCAGUUCCUAUUUUUUCCGUGUUUUUGACUCUAUCUAGAUCUGAUUUUGGAACGGAGUCCAAACGGAAGAAAAACCCCGAAAAUGAUUUUUUCCCGAACGGAAGAAGAUCACGGGACUUUUGGGCCAAGCCAGGUGGGCUCUAGGGAGCCCACAAGCCCCCACUCCGCCACCAGGGGGAGGCGGCGGUGGGCAGGCUUGUGGCCUCCCUCGCCACCCCCUGACCUAGGUCUUUGGCCUAUAAAUUCCCAAAUAUUUUGCAAAAAAUCAGGGGAGCCUCGAAAAUACUUUUCCACCGCUGCAAGCUUUCGUUUCCGCGAGAUCUCAUUUGGAGACCCUUCCCAGCGCCCUGCCGGAGGGGACUUUGGAGUUGGAGGGCUUCUUCAUCAUCAUCAUCGCCCCUCCAAUGACUCGUGAGUAGUUCACUUCAGACCUACGGGUCCGUAGUUAGUAGCUAGAUGGCUUCUUCUCUCUCUUGGAUCUUCAAUACAAAGUUCUCCAUGAUCUUCAUGGAGAUCUAUCCGAUGUAAUCUUCUUUGGCGGUGUGUUUGUCGAGAUCCGAUGAAUUGUGGAUUUGUGAUCAGAUUAUCUAUGAUAUAUAUUUGAGUCUUUGCUUAUUUCUUAGAUGCAUGAUUUGAUAUCCUUGUAAGUCUCUCCGAGUCUUGGGUUUUGUUUGGCCAACUAGAUCUAUGAUUCUUGCAAUGGGAGAAGUGCUUGGUUUUGGGUUCUACCAUGUGGUGACCUUUCCCACUGACAGUAGCGGCAGCAAGGCACACAUCAAGUAGUUGCCAUCAAGGGUAAAAAGAUGGGGUUUUUAUCAUUGGUUUGAUAUUAUACCUCUAGAUCAUGUCAUCUUGUUUAAGGCGUUACUCUGUUCUUAUGGACUUAAUACACUAGAUGCAUGCUGGAUAGCGGUCGACGCGUGGAUUAAUAGUAGUAGAUGCAGAAAGUAUUGGUCUACUUGUUUCGGACGUGAUGCCUAUAGAAAUAAUCAUUGCAUAGAUAUCGUCAUGACUUUGCACGGUUCUAUCAAUUGCUCGACAGUAAUUUGUUCACCCACCGUCUACUUUCUUUUAUGAGAGAAGCCACUAGUAAACACUAUGACCCCCGGGUCUAUUCACAUCCAUCGUUUACACCUCCGCUUUUACUUUGCUUUGUUACUUUGUUGCUUUCAGUUCUCAGUUGGCAAACAAUCUAUAAGGGAUUGACAACCCCUUCAUAGCGUUGGGAGCAAGUUUUUGUGUUUGUGCAGGAUCUUGAGAUACUCCUCCACUGGAUUGAUACCUUGGUUCUCAAACUGAGGGAAAUACUUACCACCGUCGUGCUACAUCACCCUUUCCGCUUCGAGGGAACACCAACGCAAGGCUCCAAGGCCACGGGGGAAAUCAUUUUCAUACUUGCCUAGGAAGUCCCUUAAGGCAUAGCCGCAGCAGAUGUAUCAAGCCAAGUAUCCUCCCGUCGACGUGCCUAUUGCUGGUGCCAUUGGAAGGUCUUUUAUUGCAGUAACAGAAGUAUUUCUGACGCCGUUGCAAGGGAAGCACAGCUGAUAUGAGAAGUAUUUCUGGCGCCGUUGCCGGGGAGGAGAAAUCAAGAUCUAUCCAAGUAGGUCUCAUAAACUCUUCUCUUGCAUUUACUUUUGUUGCCAGUUGCCUCUCAUUUUCCUCUCCCCCACUUCACAUUUGUCGUUUUCAUUCGCCUUUCUCCUUCGCCGUUUUCUUUCGCCCUUGCCGUUUUCCUUUGCUGGUUUCUUGCUUGCUUGUGUGCUUGUUUGUUUGUUGAAGACAUCAUGUCUAAAACACCAAACUUUGCGACUUCUCGAGCACUAAUAAUAAUAAUUUUAUUUGUACUCCGAUUGCUCCCGCCACUAGUGCGAAAUCGUAUGAAAUAAACGCAGCUUUGCUGAAUCUGUUAUGAAAGAGAAAUUCUCCGGCCUUCCUAGUGAAAAUGCCGCAUCCCAUCUCAAUACCUUCAUUGAGAUUUGCGAUAUGCAAAAUAAAAGAGAUGUGGAUAAUGACGUGAUUAAGUUGAAACUUUCUUCCUUUCUCGUUGCGAGAUCGCACAAAAACUUGGUUUUCUACUUUGCCUAAAAAUAGUAUCGAUUCUUGGGAUAGGUGCAAAGAUGCUUACAUAUCCAAGUAUUUUCCGCCGGCUAAGAUCAUCUCCUUACGUAAUGAUAUCAUGAAUUUCAAGCAACUUGAUCAUGAACGCGUUGCACAAUCUGGGGAGAGGAUGAAACUUAAGAUUAGAAAUUGUCCCGCUCAUGGCUUGAGUUUGUGGAUGAUUAUACAAAUCUUUUACGCUGGCUUGAAUCUUGCUUCUCGCAAUAUCUUGGACUCCGCCUCAGGUGGAAUGUUCAUGGAAAUCACGUUAGGAGACGCUACAAAACUCCUAGACAAUAUCAUGACCAACUACUCUCAGUGGCACACUGAAAGGUCGCCUGCUAGCAAAAAGGUGCACGCUAUAGAAGAGAUUAACUCGCUUAGUGCUAAGAUACACGAGUUGAUGAAUUUAGUUGCUAGUAGAAACGCUACCGUAGAUCCUAAUGACAUGCCACUAUCUUCUUUGAUUGAGAGUAGCAACGCUAGUUUGGACGUGAAUUUUGUUGGUAGGAACAAUUUUGGCAACAACAAUGCUUUUAGAGGAAACUAUGUUCCUAGGCCUUUUCCUAGUAACUCCUCUAACAAUUGUGGCAAUUCCUACGGCAACACUUGUGGAAAUCACAACAAAUUACCCUCUGAUUUAGAGAGUAAUAUCAAAGAGUUCAUUAACUCUCAAAAGAUUUUCAAUGCAUCCAUAGAGGGAAAACUACUCAAAAUAGACGAUUUGGCUAAGAGCGUUGAUAGGAUGUCUUGUGAUAUUGAUGCUUUGAAAUUUAGAUGCGCUCCUCCCAAGAUCAACUUGGAUGAAACUUUGAAAGCUAUGCGUAUCUCCAUGAAUGAGAGCAAAGAAAGAACCGCCCAAAUUCGAGCUAGACAUGAAUGGUUUAAAAGGGUGCGUUCUAGUGAUGCAAAUCACGAAGAUCUUAAAGUGCUUGGUGUGUCUCCCCUUGAAUCUUUGUUUUCGCGUGUCAAACCUACUUAUGGAGGGGCUGGAUAUGAAGCCACUUUGGUUGAAAAACACCCCAAUGAUUCGGAGUCCACCUAUCUUGAUGAUAAAGGUGUGGAGAGUGGAGUAGAAGAAGUCAAAAUUUUGGGUAGUAAUGAAACUCCCACUUUGGAUUUCAAGGAAUUCAAUUAUGAUAAUUUCUGCUUGUUUGAAUGCAUUUCUUUGAUGCAAUCCAUUGCAAACUCUUCACAUGCUUAUAGCCAAAGCAAAGCCUUUACCGCGCAUAUCGUAGAUGCUAUGAUGAAAUCUCUUGAAGAGAAGCUCGAACUAGAAGUCUCUAUACCUAGAAAACUUCAUGAUGAGUGGGAACCUACUAUCAAAAUCAAGAUCGAAAACUAUGAGUGCAAUGCUUUGUGUGAUUUGGGUGCUAGUGUUUCCGCGAUUCCAAAUUCUUUAUGUGAUAUUCUUGGUUUUCAUGAGAUUGAAGAGUGUUCUCUUAAUUUGCAUCUUGCGGAUUCUACUGUCAAAAAACCCAUGGGGAGGAUCGAUGAUGUUCUUAUUGUUGAAAAUAAGAACUAUGUACCCGUGGAUUUCAUUGUACUUGACAUAGAUUGCAAUCCUUCAUGUCCCAUUAUUCUUGGUAGACCUUUCCUAAGGACUAUUGGUGCUAUCAUCGAUAUGAAGGAAGGGAAUAUUAGAUUUCAAUUUCCUUUAAAGAAGGGCAUGGAGCACUUUCCUAUAAAGAAAAUAAGAUUGCCCUAUGAAUCUAUGAUGAGGGCUACUUAUGGUUUGAGCACCAAAGAUGACUAUACGUGAUUCCAUCACUUUCGCCUAGCUAAGGGCGUUAAACAAAAGCGCUUGUUGGGAGGCAACCCAACGAAUCUAUCCUUUUUCUUUAUGUUUUGUGUUUUCCACACUUUCAUAAUUCUGUUAUGAUUGUGUCUUUUGUGUUUCUUUUUGCGUUUGUGCCAAGCAAAACCGUUAUGAUUAGUCUUGGGGAUGAUCGUUUGGUCAUGUUGGAAAAGACAGAAAGUUUCUGCUGACGAAAAGAAUUUUCAUUUUUGUUAUGUAAGAGCUAUCGAAUUGAUUCUUUUUGCUGCUGAUUUCAAAGCAAAUUAUUCAGACUUUCGUAAUGUUUCAGAAUUGUUGAAGUACUAGAGGUAUGCGAAAUAUACAGAUUGCUACAGACUGGUCUACUGUUAACAUAUUCUGUUUUUGUUGUGUUGGUUGCUUAUUUUGAUGAAACUAUGGAUAGUAUCGGGGGGUAUUAGCCGUGGAAGAUUGAAAGUACAGUAACCCAACAUCAGCACAAGUAGAAUUUAAGUUUACUACAGUACCUAAGGAAGUGGUGGUUUGCUUUCUUGUACUAAUGUUAUCACGAGUUUCUGUUUAAGUUUCGUGUUGUGAAGUUUUCAAGUUUUGGGUGAAGUUCUUAUGGACAAAGAGAUAAAGAGUGGCAAGAGAUCAAGAUUGGGGAUUCCCAAGGCACCCCAAGAGAUUCAAGGAUGUCGUACAAGCCUAAGCUUGGGGAUGCCCCGGGAAGGCAUCCCCUCUCUCGUCUUCAAUCCAUCGGUAACGUUACUUGGGGCUAUAUUUUUAUUCACCACAUGUUAUGUGUUUUUGCUUGGAGUGUCUUGUAUCGUAGGAGUCUUUUAUUUUUGUUGUGUCACAAUCAUCCUUGAUGCACACCUAGAGAGAGAGAGACAUGCACACACCGUGAUUUUGUCGAGCUUUACUUAUACUUUUGGUAGACAAUUCAGCUCACAUGUGCUUCACUUAUAUCUUUUGAGCUAGAUACUUUUGCUCUAUGUGCUUCACUUAUAUAUUUUAGAGCGCAGCGGUGCGUGGCUUGGUAGUUGAUCUAUGCUUUGAAAGUAGUCUCAAAAGGGGUAUUUAUCCAUAGGGAUACGAAAACUUCCACCUUCAUGUGCAUUGAAUAGUUAGAUAAGUUUGAUUCAUCUCAAUUAGUUUUGAGUUGUGGUUAUGGUAAUAUUGAAGUCAUGCUAGUAAGGUGUUGUGGAUCUAGAAAUAAUUGUGUUGAAGUUAGUGAUUCCCGUAGCAUGCACGUAUGGUGAACCGCUAUGUGAUGAAAUCUGAGCAUGAUUAGUAUAUUGAUUGUCAUCCUUUGCGUGGCGGUCGGGGUCACACGAUGAUUUAUACCUACCAACCCUUCCCCUAGGAGUAUGCGUUGAAUGCUUUGUUUCGAUUACUAAUAAAACUUUUGCAACAAGUAUAUGAGUUCUUCAUGACUAAUGUUGAGUCCAUGGUUUAGAUGCACUUUCACCUUCCAGCAUCACUAUCUUCUUAGUGCCGUGCAACUUUCGCCGGUGCACAAAACCCACCAUUAGCCUCCCUCAAAACAGCCACCAUACCUACCUAUUAUGGCUUUUUCAAAGUAAUACCGAGAUAUAUUGCCAUGCAACUACCACCAUCACAUGUGCCACCACGUCUACUUUGCCUUUGCAUGAUCGUAAGAUAGCUAGCAUGAUGUUUCCAUUGAUGUCUAUGCCAUGCUAGAUCAUUGCCACGGUACACUACCGAAGUCAUAGUUGCUCUAAGUUUUGAGUUGAAAGUGUGAUGAUCAUCAUUAAUGGAGCAUUGUCCCAUGUGAGGAAAUAAAAGAGGCCAAAUAAGCCCAUAAAAAAGAGGCCAAAGAGCCCACCAAAAUAAAAAAAAUGAGAGAAAAAGAGAGAAGGGACAAUGCUACCACUUUUUCCACACUUGUGCAUAUUAAGCACCAUGAUCUUCAUGAUUGAGAGUCUCUCUUUUUGUCACCACCAUAUAGCUAGUGGGGAAUUUUCAUUAUAUAACUUGGCUUGUAUAUUCCAAUGAUAGGCUUCCUCAAAAUUGCCUUAGGUCUUCGUGAGCAAGCAAGUUGGAUGCACACCCACUAGUUUUCUUUAAGAGCUUUCACAUACUCAUAGCUGUAGUGCUUCAUUUGUAUGGCAAUCCCUACUCAUUCACAUUGAUAUCUAUUGAUGAGCAUCUCCACAGCUCAUUGAUAUGCCUAGUUAAUGUGACUAUCUUCUCCUUUUUUUUGUCUUGCAACCUCCACUACAUUCCACACCAUCUAUAGUGCUAUAACCAUGGCUCACGCUCAUGUAUUGCGUGAGAGUUGAAAAUGUUUGAGAAAGUAAAGGUGUGAAACAAUUACUUGGCCAAUACCGGGGUUGUGCAUGAUUUAAAUUCGUUGUGCAAUGAUGAUAGAGCAUAGCCAGACUAUAUGCUUUUGUAGGGAUAACUUUCUUUUGGCCUUGUUAUUUUGAAAGUACAUGAUUACCUUGCUAGUUUGCUUGAAUUAUUAUUGUUUCCACGUCAAUAGCAAACUAUUGUUUUGAAUCUAAUGGAUCUGAACAUUCACGUCACAUAAGAGGAAUUACAAAGUACACCUAUGCUAGGUAGCAUGAAAGCAUCAAAAAUUCAUUCUUAUCACUUCCCUACUCGAGGACGAGCAGGAGUUAAGCUUGGGGAUGCUUGAUUUGUCUCAAACGUAUCUAUAAUAUUUGAUGGUUUCACGCUGUUAUCUUGUCUUCUUUGCUUGUUUUAUGUACCUUUUAUAUCUUUUAUGGGACUAACUUAUUAAUUCAGUGCCAAGUGCCAGUUCCUGUUUUUUCCGUGUUUUUGACUCUUUUCAAAUCUGAUUUUGGAACGGAGUCCAAACGGAAGAAAAACCCCGAAAUGAUUUUUCCCGAAUGAAAGAAGACCAGGGAGCUUUUGGGCCAAGCCAGGUGGGCUCCAGGGAGCCCACAAGCCCCCACUCCACCACCAGGGGGGAGGUGGCGGUGGGCAGGCUUGUGGCCUCCCUGGCCGCCCCUUGACCUAGGUCUUUGGCCUAUAAAUUCCCAAAUAUUCCGCAAAAAAUCAGGGGAGCCUCUAAAAUACUUUUCCAUUGCCGCAAGCUUCCGUUUCCGCGAGAUGUCAUCUGGAGACCCUUCCCGGCACCCUGCUAGAGGGGACUUUGGAGUUGGAGGGCUUCUUCAUCAUCAUCAUCGCCCCUCCAAUGACUCGUGAGUAGUUCACUUCAGACCUAUGGGUCCGUAGUUAGUAGCUAGAUGGCUUCUUCUCUCUCUUGGAUCUUCAAUACAAAGUUUUCCAUGAUCUUCAUGGAGAUCUAUCCGAUGUAAUCAUCUUUGGCGGUGUGUUUGUCGAGAUCCGAUGAAUUGUGGAUUUGUGAUCAGAUUAUCUAUGAUAUAUAUUUGAGUCUUUGCUGAUUUCUUAUAUGCAUGAUUUGAUAUCCUUGUAAGUCUCUUCGAGUCUUGGUUUUUGUUUGCCAACUAGAUCUAUGAUUCUUGGAAUGGGAGAAGUGCUUGGUUUUGGGUUCUACCAUGUGGUGACCUUUCCCAGUGACAUUAGGGGCAGCAAGGCACACAUCAAGUAGUUGCCAUCAAGGGUAAAAAGAUGGGGUUUUCAUCAUUGGUUUGAUAUUAUCCCUCUACAUCAUGUCAUCUUGCUUAAGGCGUUACUCUAUUCUUAUGGACUUAAUACACUAGAUCCAUGCUGGAUAGCGGUCGACGUGUGGAGUAAUAGUAGUAGAUGCAGAAAGUAUCGGUCUACUUGUUUCGGACGUGAUGCCUAUAGAAAUAAACAUUGCAUAGAUAUCGUCACGACUUUGCGUGGUUCUAUCAAUUGCUCGACAGUAAUUUGUUCACCCACCGUCUACUUGCUUUUAUGAGAGAAGCCACUAGUAAACACUACGGCCCCCGGGUCUAUUCACAUCCAUCGUUUACACCUUCGCUUUUACUUUGCUUUGUUACUUUGUUGCUUUCGGUUCUCACUUGGCAAACAAUCUAUAAGGGAUUGACAACCCCUUCAUAGCAUUGGGAGCAAGUUUUUGUGUUUGUGCAGGAUCUCGAGAUACUCCUGCACUGGAUUGAUACCUUGGUUCUCAAAAUGAGAUAAAUACUUACCACCGUUGUGCUACAUCACCCUUUCCGCUUCGAGGGAACACCAACGCAAGGCUCCAAGGCCACGGGGGAAAUCCUUUGCAUACUUGCCUAGGAAGUCCCUUAAGGCGUAGCCGCAGAAGAAGGAUCAAGCCAAGUAUCCUCCCGUCGACGUGCCUAUUGCUGGCGCCAUUGGAAUGUCUUUUGUUGCAGUCACAGAAGUAUUUCUGGCGCCGUUGCAAGGGAAGCACAGUUGAUAUCAUCUUCCUUGUCCAACAUCUACUUCUAAGCAUGUAAUAGUUUAGUGAGUGUUCACAAUCAUAGAUGGUGUCAAGGAUGAUAUAUUUAUAUGUGAACCUCUCCUUCUUUAUCACUUCCCAUUAAUUGCAACAAUGACCAAGGUCUACGUUUGUCUACCCUCAACAAGUUUGAAUCAUCAUCCUUUUUAUAUAUGAAGCCAUCACUUCCCAUAAGAUCACUAUAUGAUCUCUCAUGGUUUUUUUCUUUCUCGAUCUUUUGAUCAUGGCAAGAGGCAAAGCCCUUCAACUAAGAUACUCCUUAUUAUAUGGCUCACGAGCUCGAAUACAUCAGGGGAGACGCAAAGCAAAACUCAAGCCUAAAACACUAAGACAUUUAUUCUACUAGAGAAAGAGAAAACUGAAAAGGAACAAACUAAAACAAAGGUAAAGGCAAAAGAUAUGAUGGUGAUACGAUACCGGGGCAACUCCCCCAAGCUUGGCACAAGCCAAGGGGAUUGCCCAUACCCAUGCUCAGUUGUCUUCCUUUGGAGGUGAUGGUGGUGGAGUUGUUGCAACCUUUGGUUCCAAGAGGGCCAUUAAUCUUUGAUUUAUACCUUGGAGAUCUGUGAUAUGUUUCUCGAGCAAAACAACUUCACGAGUGAGAUAAGUAUUGCGAGCACGAGUUGUUUCACAAAACCUCAAGAGUUCAAUCAAGGAUGGAGACUGUAGGUGGAGGUAGGGUUGGAUGAAAUCCACUUCUUCAACUUCUUCCUUGUUGAGCACAGAUUGCACUUCGUCCCAUGCCUGACUCUUCUCCUUUGUUUUGCCCUUGGUUUCUUUAGGUAGCCUUUCCUUGGCCUCCAUGACUUCCAUCCUUUUCAGAUCAACAUGUACUUCUCCAUAGACUUGAGGGAGAUUGUUCUCCCCUACAGAUUCCUGAGAUGACAUCUUGCUCUAAAUCUGUGGUAGAAAACAAGCUCGAAAUGAAAACAGAGGGAAUUUACGUGAUACAGAGGUCGAACAUUUCGGGAGAAUAUAUAAUGAUUUUUUUCCAGACCAGAGGGAGUACUCCGCACGAAAACGGAGUCCGGGAGGCACACGAGGUGGCCACAAGCCCUCUAGGACCGGCGAGGGGGUAGGUCGGGCCUAGGAGGCUUGUCGCCUCCUCGUGCACUUUCCGGACUGCUUUAAAAUUUUCUAUUUUUUCGAAAAUUCCAAAACGAAGGAAAACUGCUAAGGGAAAAGUUUUGGAGUCGUUUACUUACCGAAUCACAUACCUCCUCGUUUUCAGAGUCUCAAACAGGCUGAUAAAUAUCCCUUAUGUACUCCUCCGGAGUUAUGGUAUUGAUAAUGUUGCUCUCAACAUUUAUGGGAGUACCUGAGAUGUAAUGCUUGAUUCUCUGCCCAUUUACCACUCUCGGACAAUUACCUUCCGUGUUUUUGAUUUUGAUAGCACCGGAACAAUAUACUUCCUCAACAAUAUAGGGACCUUCCCAUUUAGAGAGAAGCUUGCGUGCAAAAAAUCUUAAACGAGAAUUGUAUAGCAAGACAUAAUCACCUACAUUGAACUCACGCUUUUGUAUCCUCUUAUCAUGCCACCUCUUAACUUUUUCUUUGAAUAACUUGGCAUUUUCAUAUGCCUGAGUUCUCCAUUCAUCAAGCGAGCUAAUGUCAAAUAACCUCUUCUCACCAGCAAGUUUGAAAUCAAAGUUGAGCUCUUUGAUUGCCCAAUAGGCUUUAUGCUCUAGCUGAAGAGGUAGAUGACAUGCUUUACCGUACACCAUUUUGUAUGGAGACAUGCCCAUGGGAUUCUUAUAGGCAGUUCUAUAAGCCCACAGUGCAUCAUCGAGCUUCUUAGACCAAUUCUUUCUAGACCUGUUGACAGUCUUUGCAGAAUCAGUUUAAUCUCUCUAUUGCUUAGCUCUACUUGACCACUGGACUGAGGGUGAUAGGGAGACGCAAUUCUAUGGUUGACAUCAUACUUAGCAAGCGUCUUACCGAAAGCACCAUGAAUGAAAUGUGAACCACCAUCGGUCAUUAGAUAUAUAGGGACUCCAAAUCUGGGGAAGAUAACUUCUUUAAGCAUCCUGAUAGAGGUGUUGUGAUCAUCACUACUAGUGGGGAUUGCUUCCACCCACUUAGUGACAUAAUCAACAACAACUAGGAUAUAAGUAUACCCGUUGGAUUUUGGAAAAGGUCCCAUAUAAUCAAAGCCCCAAACAUCAAAUGGUUCAAUGAGAAGUGAAUAGUUCAUAGGCAUUUCCUGACGUUUACCGAUAUUACCUAUUCUUUGACAUUCGUCGCAAGACAAGAGAAACUUACGGGCAUCCUUGAACAGAGUGGGCUGAUACGUCUCCGUCGUAUCUACUUUUCCGAACUCUUUUGCCCUUGUUUUGUACUUUAAUUUGCAUGAUUUGAAUGGAACUAACCCGGACUAACGCUGUUUUCAGCAGAAUUGCCAUGGUGUUGUUUUUGUGCAGAAAUAGAAGUUCUCGGAAUGUCCUGAAAAUUUACGGAGAAUUUUUCUAGAAUUAAUGAAAAAUACCUGUGCAAAGAUCCACCAGAGGGUGUGAACCAGUGGGCCACAAGCCCACUGGCCGCGGCCACCGCCCAGGCCGCACCAACCAGGCUUGUGGAGCCCACAGAGCUGCACCGCCUCCAAACUCAGCUCUAUAUAUUGCGUUUCGCCCGGAAAAAAAUUAGAGAGAAGGAGUCAUCGCGUUUUACGAUACGGAGGCGCGGCCACCUCCUGUUCUUCAUGUGGAGGGCAGAUCUGGAGUCCGUUCUAGGCUCCGGAGAGGGGAAAUCGUCGCCAUCAUCAUCAUCAACCUUCCUCCAUCGACAAUUCCAUGAUGCUAUUCACCGUUCGUGAGUAAUCUCAUCGUAGGCUUGCUGAACGGUGAUGAGUUGGAUGGGAUCUAUCAUGUAAUCGAGUUAGUUUUGACGGGGAUUGAUCCGUGGUAUCCACUAUGUUCUGAGAUUGAUGUUGCUACUACUUUGCCAUGCUUAAUGCUUGUCACUAGGGCCCGAGUGCCAUGAUUUCAGAUCUGAACCUAUUAUGUUGUCGCCAAUAUAUGUGUGUUUUAGAUCCUACCUUGCAAGUUGUAGUCACCUACUAUGUGUUAUGACCCGGCAACCCCGGAGUGACAAUAGCCGGAACCACUCCCGGAGAUGACCAUAGUAUGAGGAGUUCGUGUAUUCACCACGUCUUAAUGCGUUAGUCUGGUUCUUUAUUAAAAGGAGAACCUUAAUAUCCCUUAGUUUCCAUUAGGACCCCGUUGCCACGGGAGGGAUGGACAAUAGAUGUCAUGCAAGUUCUUUUCCCUAAGCACGUAUGACUACAUACGGAAUACAUGCCUACAUUAGAUUGACGAACGGGAGCUAGUUACAUAUCUCUUUGUGUUAUAGCUUUUACAUGAUGAAUCACAUCCGACAUACUCAUCCAUAACCGAUCCAAUGCCUACGAGUCUUUUACUACUGGUCCUUGCUACGUUACUUUGCCGCUACUGCUACCACUGCUGUUACUGUUGCUCUGUUGCUACUGCCGUUACUUGCUGCUGCUGUCACUACUGCUGUUACUUGCUCUACUACUUGCUAUUGCUGUCACUACUGCCGUUCCUUGCUACAGCUGUCACUACUGCUGUUACUUGCUACUUUGUUGUUACUCGCUGCAACACUUUAGUGGCACCAUUUAUACAACAAGUUAGGAAUAGUCUGCCGUCAACAGACCUUUUUCUGGCACCGUUGCUAUCAUACUACUUUGCUACUGAUACUUUGCUUGCAUACACUAAUCUUUGAGGUGUGGUUGAAUUGACAACUCAGCUGCUAAUACUUGAGAAUAUUCUUUUGCUUCCCCUUGUGUCGAAUCAAUAAAUUUGGGUUGAAUACUCUACCCUCGAAAACUGUUGCAAUCCCCUAUACUUGUGGGUCAUGAUGGGCCAAUAGAAACCUGAUUGCAAUACCUUGUGUGCAGUUCUAUCUCCCGCAUGGUGUCCUCCGUAGGCCUCGGGGUGACACUUCUGUAGGAUCUAUCCCUGUUCAUGUUCAGGUACACAACAUCUAAUAACACCAUCUACUCCUUCCUUAUAAAGGUGAGGAUCAUCCCAAAAGUAAUGUCUCAAGUCAAAGAAGAAUUUCUUCUUUUGCUGGUACGUGAAAGUAGGUGGUAUAUAUUUGGCAACAAUAUAGUUUGUAUAAUCAGCAUACCACGGUGCACUACGUGAAGCAUUGAUGACAUUCAAUUGCUCACUGUGAAAGCUAUCAUCAAUAGGUUGUGGGUCAUCAAGAACGUUCUCCAACCUAGACAAGUUAUCUGCUACGGGGUUAUCAGCACCCUUCUUGUCGACAACAUGCAAAUCAAACUCUUGUAGCAAGAGAACCCAUCUGAUAAGUCUAGGUUUAGCGUCCUUCUUCUCCAUGAGGUACUUAAUAGCAGCAUGAUCAGUGUGAAUAGUGACUUUGGAAUGAACUAUGUAAGACCUGAACUUUUCACAUGCAAACACGACUGCUAAAAAUUCAUUUUCCGUAGUAGCAUAGUUUCUUUGGGCACUGUCUAGAAUUUUACUAGCAUAGUGAAUAACGUUCAACUUCUUAUCAACUCUUUGCCCUAGGACAACACCAACAACAUAAUCACUAGCAUCACACAUAAUUUCAAAAGGUAAGUUCCAAUCAGGUGGUUGAACAAUAGGUGCAGUUAUCAAAGCCCUCUUAAGUAUUUCGAAGGCUUCCUCACAAUCAUCGUCAAAAACAAAAGGAAUAUCCUUUUGCAAGAGAUUGGUAAGAGGCCUAGAAAUCUUAGAGAAGUCUUUAAUGAACCUUCUAUAGAAACCAGCAUGACCAAGGAAACUUCUUAUACCUUUGAUAUCUGUGGGGUAUGGCAUUUUCUCCAUUGCAUCAACCUUGGCCUUAUCGACUUCAAUACCUUUUUCAAAAAAA
rnacentral:lncRNA from 1 species